ACCGUCUCCGCCACUCACGGAGACAUGGACCAGAACACUAGGGACAUCAUCAUGAGGGAGUUCAGAUCAGGUUCUUCACGUGUGCUCAUCACCACUGACCUGCUUGCUCGUGGUAUUGAUGUCCAGCAAGUGUCCCUUGUCAUCAACUAUGACCUCCCAACCCAGCCAGAGAACUACCUGCAUCGCAUCGGGCGUAGUGGUCGGUUCGGGAGGAAGGGUGUGGCCAUCAACUUUGUGACCCGUGAAGAUGAGAGGAUGCUGUUUGACAUCCAGAAGUUCUACAACGUGGUGAUUGAAGAGCUCCCAGCCAACGUUGCCGACCUUCUGUGAUCGGGCGGGCUGUCGAGAACAUAUGGUAAGGGGGUCCUGACAGGGCUUUGUUUUUGUUGAAGUAUCACCAAACUUUCUUGUCUGUGGGUGGGGGGGUUCAAGUGAUAAAUGGUCUGGGGUUCUACUUUAAAGUCGUGGUCGUGGACAAUUUGGGAUUUAUUAAGCCAUGUUUUGGGAAUUUUUGUAGUUGCUAGGCUGUGGUUCUAUGUGCUGAGGAGGGAGGCGCUGCUGCUCAUGUUGCUGUUGCUGGAGUCCUCACUUUAUUUGUUAAGACUAUGUAAUGACCGAAUGAUGUUAUUUGUUUGUGUCAUCCUUGACUCUUUACCUACCGCAUGUAAUCCUGCAAUCGGUACUAGUAAUGUUAUCGUUAUUAAAAACUGUUUACUCUUUUUUUAGCAAUAACCUCUGCUUAUUAGUCAAGGAGUAGUUAUCUACUUGUGAUCGUUCGCAUAUCUAGUUUGCCGUAUUACUCGGGUAUCAGGAUAUGGCAUCUGCAGUGCUUUCUGAAAUUCCCAUUCUCAGUACUGAGUGAAACUAAGAUACUGGGUUACCUGUAAAUCCUGUCAGUGUAACGUGAAAAUUUGCAUCCUCCCAGAGAUUGGGAAAGAGUAAAUAAUGGUGAAUGUUAUCCCAGUUGUUAGGACGGAGCUCAUCAGAUGCUCAUCAGAUCUGUCCCAUUCGCUUCGUAACCCCCUCCCCUUCCACAACCGUCAACUAACGGCCAGCACACCACGCCANNNNNNNNNNNNNNNNNNNNNNNNNNNNNNNNNNNNNNNNNNNNNNNNNNNNNNNNNNNNNNNNNNNNNNNNNNNNNNNNNNNNNNNNNNNNNNNNNNNNNNNNNNNNNNNNNNNNNNNNNNNNNNNNNNNNNNNNNNNNNNNNNNNNNNNNNNNNNNNNNNNNNNNNNNNNNNNNNNNNNNNNNNNNNNNNNNNNNNNNNNNNNNNNNNNNNNNNNNNNNNNNNNNNNNNNNNNNNNNNNNNNNNNNNNNUGAAUAUUUUUGCAAGUUUUAGUGCAUCUUUCUUUUUUAAAUUUUUAUCACAACAAAGAAUACAAUAUAAUAUAUAUUUAAGAGCCUUAAAUAGAAUUUUUUUGCAAGUUUUAGUGCAUCUUUCUUUUUUAAAAUUUUAUCACAACAAAGAAUACAAUAUAAUAUAUUUAAGAGCCUUAAAUAUGCAGAGCUCACACAAUAUAACAUGUAUCACACUCGAGUAGUUUCACAUAGUUUCACAAAUAGCAAAAUAUGCAAAGCUCACAUAUUAAUAAAGGUUGAACUAAUAGACAUGUCAUACAUAGCAAAUAGCAAACGGUUCCACAUAGUUUCACAAAUAGCAAAUAGCAAACUUGUCCACAUAGUUUGACAACCCCAACUAAUGCAAGUAGUUUCGCAAACAGUUUCACAAAGCCAACAAACGGUUCCACAUAGUUUCUCUCCAACUAACACAAGUAGGCUAACAAGCCAAGACCACAAUUACAUGCUUCUUCCUCUCUUGGAGGUACGGUCCUCGUUCUUCUUUGAACGAGUCUCUUCAGGCUUCUUCUCGCGCCCUCCUCGAGGAAUCGGUUUUUGGAAUGGGGAUGGACUCUGCAAAUCCUUCUUUGGCUGAUUUCUCUUCAGAAGCUGAGAUGGUUGAGUUGGUGGAGGUCCGUAAUCUUCAUCGUACUCCUCCCCAUUGCUCUCCUCCUCCUCCUCAACCAACCUAGCCGAAGAGGCAGCAUGGCUUGAUGAAGCAAUGUUACCUUGUGUGGCUGCAGGAUCAUGAGCUUCAACCGAGCCAGCACACUCAAGCAGGCCUACCAGCUUGCGACAAUGCUUGACGAACUUCUGCAGUCACAAUGAAACAAGGACAUAAUACUGAUCAGAUUUAUGAUUGCAAAUGAACAAGAACAUAGGUUAUUUCUAGGCGCCUGAAAUAUUACCUUCACCGUCUCCCUCAUGAUAUUCUCAGAAUCUCCGUUCCCUGGGGGACGACCUAGUGCAUUCGAGCCAUCGAAGAUGCAUCUGCUCAGCUCGCCGGACUGUAAAAGCAAUGAGUCACAAUGACGAAUAAAAUAAAUUACAUACAACCGCCGGUUCAAGACAGAAGAACACAACUUACCACUCUAUUGACCAGGGGUGCAAACUCCCUAAAUCCACUCAUGUCUCUGAUGCUGGCCUGGUAGGCCUCUUCCUCGGGGGCAUCCAUCUCCAGCUCUGCGAUAUCUUCUGUCGUCCACCUAGGCCUGAGACGAAGACGAUGCUUCUGGCCAUCAUCGUACCACCUCAUGUGUUGGGCGUAAUCAUCCCAGUCAAUCACUCGCCUCUCCCCAUCUUUAUGCCACCUGCGCCGGUUCCACUCUGUCACAAAAGUUUUAUGCUGCUCUCCCCAUGCUGUGAUCAACUGAUUUUUCUUCCGGCUCAUCCUACAAGGCAUAAACAACACAAAACAUCAUAAGAAGGUCAAACGCAACGAAAUCAUGGUAACGGAGAACAAUGCACUCACAAGUGGAGUUCGUGGCCACCGGUAUCGUUCGACAUGCCCGGUGGUGUAUGCUGGUAGAUCCCAAACUGCGCGGCCACGCGGUGUGGCAAGUGCCACUCAACGACGUACACACAUAGCAUGGGCACCAUGCACCGCCAAAGACCGCGAUCCUCCUCGCACAUCACGUUCAGCUCGAUGAGAAGGUACCACAGGUAGGCCCUCGCGUAUUGCUCCACCAUACCCUCAUCGGCAUUUACGGGGCAUUUCUUUCGGUUGUUCAGGAGCCAGGGCAGCGAUACACCGGAUGUCCGGUUACCUUAGCGUCGGGGUAGUCACCGAUGAGGGUGGUAACCCUCUGCUGCCAUUUUGAACAAACAUGAAACAUAUCAAGUCCAAAUAUAAAUGAAUCAUAUUCAACCGACAUGAAUCAUAUCAUUUUCAUCAAUUAUAACUUAUUCAACCAACAUUCAUCAAUUAUCAUAUAUUCAACCAAUAUAAAUGAUCAAUGCGAAUGAAUCAUAUUCAACCAACAUCUUUCAUUCAACAACCAUCACUCAUGCACUUGUUUAUUCAACAUUGCUAAAAAAUGCAUAUACAUAAUUCACCAAAAUCCAUCAUAUGACCAUUUGUUCAAAAAAUAUGCAUAUACAUAAUUCAAUCGUAUGUAGGCAACUACUUACAAUCCCUCCAACAUCAAUCAUGUGACCAUUUGUUCAAAACAAAUCUGAAUCUCCAACUAGGGUUCAUAUAAAAACUAGGGUUCGUAUAAAAACUACAUAUAAUCUCCACAACUAUUCCCUCUAAAUAUAAGUCUUUCGAGAGAUUUCAAUAUGGACUACAUACAGAGCAAAAUGAGUGAAUCUACACUCUAAACUAUGUCUAUAUACAUAUGUAUGUAGUCCAUAUUGAAAUCUCUACAAAGACUUAUAUUUAGGAACGAAGGGAGUAGUUAUUAGAGUUCAUAUUGAACCCUAUACACAUCAUAUACAAUGAACCUAAGCAAUCCUAAGAUAAAAAAGUAAGACAAUAGGGUUGUUUUGCACCAAAUAAUGCAUCGAAUUGAAAAUGUUUCGAGUAAAACUAAUUGGAGGGAUUGAUAGAGCUUACUUUUCCCGUUUCGGAGCCAUCUCGAUCCGCAAAAAUGGUGGCAAAACGAAGAAGAUCGAAGGGGGGAGUGGAGUGGAUGAGAGAGGGCUUGUGCUCUCUGUUCUUGCAGCGCUGCAUGGUUGGGGAGAAGAAGAUGGGGGCUGGUUGGUGGGUGGGCCCCACGUGCCUCCCCACGCGGGCUUAUAAGGAUUCAGCCCCUACCGCCAUGGUCUAUGACCGUAGGGUUGCAUAGCCUACUGCCGUUAGCUCUCGCGGUAGGGUGGACGGCAGGAGACGGUUUCGUUUACUUGAGGCUGACGUGGAUGAGUGGCCUACCGCCAUACCCUGUGGUGGUAGUGAAGGAAAUAUGCCCUAGAGGCAAUAAUAAAGUUAUUAUUUAUUUCCUUAUUUCAUGAUAAAUGCUUAUUAUUCAUGCUAGAAUUGUAUUAACCGGAAACUUAGUACAUGUGUGAAUACAUAGACAAACAGAGUGUCACUAGUAUGCCUCUACUUGACUAGCUCGUUAAUCAAAGAUGGUUAAGUUUCCUAGCCAUAGACAUGAGUUGUCAUUUGAUGAACGGGAUCACACCAUUAGAGAAUGAUGUGAUUGACUUGACCCAUCCAUUAGCUUAGCACGAUGAUCGUUUAGUUUGUUGCUAUUGCUUUCUUCAUGACUUAUACAUGUUCCUAUGACUUAUGCAGCUCCCGAAUACCGGAGGAACACUUUGUGUGCUAUCAAACGUCACAACGUAACUGGGUGAUUAUAAAGAUGCUCUAUAGGUGUCUCCGAUGGUGUUUGUUGAGUUGGCAUAGAUCGAGAUUAGGAUUUGUCACUCCGUGUUUCGGAGAGGUAUCUCUGGGCCCUCUCGGUAAUGCACAUCACUAUAAGCCUUGCAAGCAAUGUGACUAAUGAGUUAGUUGCGGGGUGAUGCAUUACGGAACGAGUAAAGAGACUUGCGGGUAACGAGAUUGAACUAGGUAUUGAGAUACCGACGAUCGAAUCUCGGGCAAGUAACAUACCGAUGACAAAGGGAACAACGUAUGUUGUUAUGCGGUUUGACCGAUAAAGAUCUUCGUAGAAUAUGUAGGAACCAAUAUAUAUGAGCGUCCAGGUUCCGCUAUUGGCUAUUGACCGGAGAUGAGUCUCGGUCAUGUCUACAUAGUUCUCGAACCUGUAGGGUCCGCACGCUUAACAUUCGGUGACGAUCGGUAUUAUGAGUUUAUGUGUUUUGAUGUACCGAAGGUUGUUCGGAGUCCCGGAUGUGAUCACGGACAUGACGAGGAGUCUCGAAAUGGUUGAGACAUAAAGAUUGAUAUAUUGGACAACUAUGUUUGGACUUCGGAAUGGUUCCGGGUGAAAUCGGGAUUUUACCGGAGUACCGGGAGGUUACCGGAACCCCCCGGUAAGUGUAUGGGCCUUAUUGGGCCUUAGUGGAAUAGAGGAGGAGGAAGCCUAGGUGGGGGCGCGCCCCCCCAAGCCCAAUCCGAAUUGGGUGAGGGGGCCGGCCCCCCUUUCNNNNNNNNNNNNNNNNNNNNNNNNNNNNNNNNNNNNNNNNNNNNNNNNNNNNNNNNNNNNNNNNNNNNNNNNNNNNNNNNNNNNNNNNNNNNNNNNNNNNNNNNNNNNNNNNNNNNNNNNNNNNNNNNNNNNNNNNNNNNNNNNNNNNNNNNNNNNNNNNNNNNNNNNNNNNNNNNNNNNNNNNNNNNNNNNNNNNNNNNNNNNNNNNNNNNNNNNNNNNNNNNNNNNNNNNNNNNNNNNNNNNNNNNNNNNNNNNNNNNNNNNNNNNNNNNNNNNNNNNNNNNNNNNNNNNNNNNNNNNNNNNNNNNNNNNNNNNNNNNNNNNNNNNNNNNNNNNNNNNNNNNNNNNNNNNNNNNNNNNNNNNNNNNNNNNNNNNNNNNNNNNNNNNNNNNNNNNNNNNNNNGGCACCCCAUAGACACACAAGUUGAUCAUUGAUCUCUUAGCCGUGUGCGGUGCCCCCCUCCACCAUAAUCCACCUCGGUCAUAUCGUAGCGGUGCUUAGGCGAAACCCUGCGUUGGUAACUUCAUCAUCACCGUCAUCACGCCGUCGUGCUGACGAAGCUCUCCCUCGAAACUCUACUGGAUCGUGAGUUCGUGGGACGUCGCCGAGCUGAACGUGUGCAGUCCGCGGAGGUGACGUACCUUCGGUGCUAGGAUCGGUCGAUCGUGAAGACGUACGACUACAUCAACCGCGUUAUCAUAACGCUUCCGCUUACGGUCUACGAGGGUACGUUGACAACACUCUCCCCUCUGGUUGCUAUGCAUCACCAUGAUCUUGCGUGUGCGUAGGAAAAUUUUGAAAUUACUACGUUCCCCAACAGUGGCAUCCGAGCCAGGUUUAUGCGUAGAUGUUGUAUGCACGAGUAGAACACAAGUGAGUUGUGGGCGAUACUAGUCAUACUGCUUACCAGCAUGUCAUACUUUGAUUCGGCGGUAUUGUUGGAUGAAGCGGCCCGGACCGACAUUACGCAUACGCUUAUGCGAGACUGGUUCUACCGACGUGCUUCGCACACAGGUGGCUGGCGGGUGUCAGUUUCUCCAAGUUUAGUUGAAUCGAGUGUGGCUACGCCUGGUCCUUGUUGAAGGUUAAAACAGCACAUACUUGACGAAAUAUCGUUGUGGUUUUUGAUGCGUAGGUAAGAACGGUUCUUGCUUAGCCCGUAGCAGCCACAUAAAACUUGCAACAACAAAGUAGAGGACGUCUAACUUGUUUUUGCAGGGCAUGUUGUGAUGUGAUAUCUUCAAGGAAUGAUGCUAUAUUUUAUUGUAUGAGAUGAUGAUGUUUUGUAACGGAGUUAUCGGCAACUGACAGGAGCCAUAUGGUUGUCGCUUUAUUGUAUGCAAUGCAAUCGCCCUAUAAUUGCUUUACUUUAUCACAAAGCGGUAGCGAUAGUCGUAGAAGCAAUAGUCGGCGAGACGACAAAGAUGCUACGACGGAGAUCAAUGUGUCGCGCCGGUGACGAUGGUGAUCAUGACGGUGCUUUGGAGAUGGAGAUCAAAGGAACAAGAUGAUGAUGGCCAUAUCAUAUCACUUGUAUUGAUUGCAUGUGAUGUUUAUCCUUUAUGCAUCUUAUUCUGCUUUGAUUGACGGUAGCAUUAUAAGAUGAUCUCUCACAAAAAUUCAAGGUACAAGUGUUCUCCCUGAGUAUGCACCGUUGCCAAAGUUCGUCGUGCCGAGACACCACGUGAUGAUCGGGUGUGAUAAGCUCAACGUUCUUAUACAACGGGUGUAAGCCAGUUUUGCACACGCAGAAAUACUCAGGUUAAACUUGACGAGCCUAGCAUAUGCAGAUAUGGCCUCGGAACACUGGAGACCGAAAGGUCGAGCGUGAAUCAUAUAGUAGAUAUGAUCAACAUAGUGAUGUUCACCAUUUAAAACUACUCCAUCUCACGUGAUGAUCGGACAUGGUUUAGUUGAUUCACGUGAUCAUUUAGAUGACUAGAGGGAUGUCUAUCUAAGUGGGAGUUCUUAAGUAAUAUGAUUAAUUGAACUUAUUUAUCAUGAACUUAGUCCUGGUAGUAUUAGCAUAUCUAUGUUGUAGAUCAAUAGCUCGCGUUUAGCUCCCCUGUUUUAUUUUUGAUAUGUUCCUAGAGAAAACUAAGUUGAAGAUGUUAGUAGCAAUGAUGCGGAUUGGAUCUGUGAUCUGAGGAUUAUCCUCAUUGUUGCACAGAAGAAUUAUGUCCUUGAUGCACCGCCAAGUGAUAGACCGAUUGCAGGAGCAAAUGCAGACGUUAUGAACGUUUGGCAAGAUCGAUAUGAUGACUACUUGAUAGUUUAGUACACCAUGCUUUACGGCUUAGAAUCGGGGCUUCAAAGACGUUUUUGAAACGCCACGGAGCAUAUGAGAUGUUCCAAGAGUUGGAAUUAGUAUUUCAGACUCAUGCCCAUGUCGAAAGGUAUGAGACCUUUGACAAGUACUUUGCCUACAAGAUGGAGGAGAAUAGCUCAGCCAGUGAGCAUGUGCUCAGAAUGUCUGAGUACUACAAUCACUUGAAUCAAGUGGGAGUUAAUCUUCCAGAUAAGAUAGUGAUUGACAGAGUUCUCUAGUCACUAUCACCAAGUUACUAGAACUUUGUGAUGAACUAUAAUAUGCAAGGGAUAACAGAAACGAUUCCCAAGCUCUUCUUGAUGUUGAAAUCGACGAAGGUAGAAAUCAAGAAAAACAUCAAGUGUUGAUGGUUGACAAGACCACUAGUUUCAAGAAAAGGGCAAAGGGAAGAAGGGGAACUUCAAGAAGAACGGCUAGCAAGUUGCUGCUCAAGUGAAGAAGCCCAAGUCUGGACCUAAGCCUGAGACUGAGUGCUUCUACUGCAAUGGAAAUGGUCACUGGAAGUGGAACUACCCUAGAUACUUGGCGGAUAAGAAGGAUGGCAAGGUGAACAAAGGUAUAUUUGAUAUACAUGAUAUUUAUGUGUACUUUACUAGUGUUUAUAGCAACCCCUCGGUAUUUGAUACUGGUUCAGUUGCUAAGAGUAGUAACUCGAAACGGGAGUUGCAGAAUGAACAGAAACUAGUUAAGGGUGAAGUGACGAUGUGUGUUGGAAGUAGUUCCAAGAUUGAUAUGAUCAUCAUCGCACACUCCCUAUACUUUCGGGAUUAGUGUUGAACCUAAAUAAAUGUUAUUUGGUGUUUUGCGUUGAGCAUGAAUAUGAUUUGAUCAUGUUUAUUGCAAUACGGUUAUUCAUUUAAGUUAGAGAAUAAUUGUUGUUCUAUUUACAUGAAUAAAACUUUCUAUGGUCAUACACCCAAUGAAAAUGGUUUGUUGGAUCUCGAUCGUAGUGAUACACAUAUUCAUAAUAUUGAAGCCAAAAGAUGCAAAGUUAAUAAUGAUAGUGCAACUUAUUUGUGGCACUGCCGUUUUGGUCAUAUUGGUAUAAAACGCAUGAAGAAACCCCAUGCUAAUGGGCUUUUGGAAUCACUUGAUUAUGAAUCACUUGAUGCUUGCGAACCAUGCCUCAUGGGCAAGAUGACUAAAGACUCCGUUCUCUGGAACAAUGGAGCGAGCAACUGACUUAUUGGAAAUAAUACAUACUGAUGUAUGCGGUCCGAUGAGUGUUAAGGCUCGCGGCGGGUAUCGUUAUUUUCUGACCUUCACAGAUGAUUUGAGCAGAUAUGGGAAUAUCUACUUGAUGAAACACAAGUCUGAAACAUUUGAAAAGUUCAAAGAAUUUCAGAGUGAAGUGGAGAAUCAUCGUAACAAGAAAAUAAUAGUUUCUACGAUAUGAUCGCGGAGGUAAAAUAUUUGAGUUACGAGUUUGGUCUUCAGUUAAAACAAUGUGAAAUAGUUUCACUACUCACGCCACCUGGAACACCACAGUGUAAUGGUGUGUCCGAACGUCGUAAUUGUACUUUAUUAGAUAUGGUGCGAUCUCUGAUGUCUCUUACCAAUCUACCACUAUCGUUUUGGGGUUAUGCAUUAGAGACAACUACAUUCACGUUAAAUAGGGCACCGUCUAAAUCCGUGGAGUUGACACCGUAUGAACUGUGGUUUGGCGAGAAACCUAAGCUGUCGUUUCUUAAAGUUUGGGACUGCGAUGCUUAUGUAAAAAAGUUUCAACAUGAUAAGCUCGAACCCAAAUCGGAGAAGUAAAUCUUCAUAGGAUACCCAAAAAGAAACUAUUGGGUACACCUUCUAUCACAGUUCCGAAGGCAAGAUCUUUGUUGCUAAGAAUGGAUCCUUUCCAGAGAAGGAGUUUCUCUCAAAAGAAGUGAGUGGGAGGAAAGUAGAACUUGAUGAGGUAACUGUACCUUCUCCCGAAUUGGAAAGUUGUUCAUCACAGAAAUCAGUUCCAGUGAUGCCUACACCAAUUAGUGAGGAAGUUAAUGAUGAUGAUCAUGAAACUUCAGAUCAAGUUACUACCGAACCUCGUAGGUCAACCAGAGUAAGAUCCGCACCAGAGUGGUACGGUAAUCCUGUUCUGGAGGUCAUGUUACUUGACCAUGACGAACCUACGAACUAUGAGGAAGCGAUGAUGAGCCCAGAUUCCGCGAAAUGGUUUAAGGCCAUGAAAUCUGAGAUAUGAUCCAUGUAUGAGAGAAAGUAUGGACUUUGAUUGACUUGCCUGAUGAUCGGUGAGCCAUUAAGAAUAAAUGGAUAUUCAAGAGGAAGACGGAUGUUGAUAGUAGUGUUACUAUCUACAAAGCUCGAAUUGUCGCAAAAGGUUUUCGACAAGUUCAAGGUGUUGUCUAUGAUGAGAUUUUCUCACUCGUAUCGAUGCUUAAGUCUGUCCGAAUCAUGUUAGCAAUUGCCGCAUUUUAUGAAAUCUGGCAAAUGGAUAAACAAAAUUGCAUUCCUUAAUGGAUUUAUUAAAGAAGAGUUGUAUAUGAUACAACCAGAAGGUUUUGUCAAUCCUAAAGGUGCUAACAAAGUAUGCAAGCUCCAGCGAUCCAUCUAUGGACUGGUGCAAGCAUCUCGGAGUUGGCAUAUACGCUUUGAUAAGUUGAUCAAAGCAUAUAGCUUUAUACAGACUUGCGGUGAAGCCUGUAUUUACAAGAAAGUGAGUGGGAGCACUACAGCCUUUCUGAUAAGUAUAUGUGAAUGACAUAUGGUUGAUUGGAAAAGAUGUAGAGUUUUCUGGAAAGCAUAAAGGAGUGUUUGAAAGGAGUUUUUCAACGAAAGACCUCGGUGAAGCUUCUUACACAUUGAGCAUCAAGAUCUAUAGAGAUAGAUCAAGAACGCCUGAUAAGUUUUUUCAAUGAGUACAUACCUUGACAAGUUUUUGAAGUAGUUCAAAAUGGAACAGUCAAAGAAAGAGUUCUUGCCUGUGUUGCAAGGUGUGAAGUUGAGUAAGACUCAAAACCCGACCACGACAGAAGAUAGAGAGAGAAUGAGAGUCAUUCCCUAUGCCUCAGCCAUAGGUUCUAUAAAGUAUGCCGUGCUGUGUACCAUACCUAUUGUAUACCCUGCCCUGAGUUUGGCAAGGGAGUACAAUAGUGAUCUAGGAGUAGAUCACUGGACAUUGGUCAAAAUUAUCCUUAGAGGACUAAGGAAAUAUUUCUCGGUUAUGGAGGUGAUAAAGAGUUCAUCGUAAAGAGUUACAUCGAUGCAAGCUUUGACACUGAUCUGGAUGACUCUGAGUCUUGAUCUGGAUACAUAUUGAAAGUGGGAGCAUUUGGCUAGAGUAGCUCCGUGCAGAGCAUUGUAGACAUAGAAAUUUGCAAAUUACAUACGGAUCUGAAUGUGACAGACCCGUUGACUAAACUUCUCUCACAAGAUAAACAUGAUCACACCUUAGUACUCUUCGGGUGUUAAUCACAUAGCGAUGUGAACUAGAUUAUUGACUCUAGUAAACCCUUUCGGUAUUGGUCACAUGACGAUGUGAACUAUGGGUGUUAAUCACAUGGUGAUGUGAACUAUUGGUGUUAAAUCACAUGAGGAUGUGAACUAGAUUAUUGACUCUAGUGCAAGUGGGAGACUGAAGGAAAUAUGCCCUAGAGGCAAUAAUAAAGUUAUUAUUUAUUUCCAUAUUUCAUGAUAAAAUGUUUAUUAUUCAUGCUAGAAUUGUAUUAACCGGAAACUUAGUACAUGUGUGAAUACAUAGACAAACAGAGUGUCACUAGUAUGCCUCUACUUGACUAGCUCGUUAAUCAAAGAUGGUUAAGUUUCCUAGCCAUAGACAUGAGUUGUCAUUUGAUGAACGGGAUCACAUCAUUAGAGAAUGAUGUGAUUGACUUGACCCAUCCAUUAUCUUAGCACGAUGAUCGUUUAGUUUGUUGCUAUUGCUUUCUGUUGGGAAUCGUAGCAUAAUUUUAAAAUUUUCCUACGCUCACCAAGAUGCAUCUAUGGAGUAUACUAGCAACGAGGGGAAAGGAGUGCAUCUACAUACCCUUGUAGAUCGCGAGCGGAAGCGUUCCAAUGAACGUGGAUGACGGAGUCGUACUCGCCGUGAUCCAAAUGCGUUCAACACACGUACGGUGCAGCGACGUCUCCUCCUUCUUGAUCCAGCAAGGGGGAAGGAGAGGUUGAUGGAGAUCCAGCAGCACGACGGCGUGGUGGUGGAUGUAGCGGGAUGCCGGCAGGGCUUCGCCGACCAUAUACGAGAGAGAGAGGUGUUGCAGGGGGAGAGGGAGGCGCCCAAGGCUGUAAUGCUACUGCCCUCCCUCCCCCCCUUUAUAUAGGCCCCCUGGGAGGGGGGGCGCUGGCCAGAACCCAUCUAGGGUGGGGGGGGCGGCGGCCAGGGGGGUAACUUACCCCCCAAGGCAAGUGGGAAGCCCCCCCACCCUAGGGUUCCCAACCCUAGGCGCAUGGGGGGAGGCCCAUGGGGGGGCGCCCAACCCACUAGGGGCUGGUUCCCUUCCCACUUCAGCCCACGGGGCCCUCCGGGAUAGGUGGCCCCACCCGGUGGACCCCUGGGACCCUUCCGGUGGUCCCGGUACAAUACCGGUAACCCCCGAAACUUUCCCGGUGGCCGAAACUUGACUUCCUAUAUAUAAUUCUUUACCUCCGGACCAUUCCGGAACUCCUCGUGACGUCCGGGAUCUCAUCCGGGACUCCUAACAACUUUCGGGUUUCCGCAUACACAUAUCUCUACAACCCUAGCGUCACCGAACCUUAAGUGUGUAGACCCUACGGGUUCGGGAGACAUGCAGACAUGACCGAGACGCCUCUCCGGUCAAUAACCAACAACGGGAUCUGGAUACCCAUGUUGGCUCCCACAUGUUCCACGAUGAUCUCAUCGGAUGAACCACGAUGUCGAGGAUUCAAUCAAUCCCGUAUACAAUUCCCUUUGUCAAUCGGUAUGUUACUUGCCCGAGAUUCGAUCGUCGGUAUCCCAAUACCUUGUUCAAUCUCGUUACCGGCAAGUCUCUUUACUCGUACCGUAAUGCAUGAUCCCGUGACUAACGCCUUAGUCACAUAGAGCUCAUUAUGAUGAUGCAUUACCGAGUGGGCCCAGAGAUUCCUCUCCGUCAUACGGAGUGACAAAUCCCAGUCUCGAUCCGUGCCAACCCAACAGACACUUUCGAAGAUACCCGUAGUGCACCUUUAUAGUCACCCAGUUACGUUGUGACGUUUGGCACACCCAAAGCACUCCUACGGUAUCCGGGAGUUGCACGAUCUCAUGGUCUAAGGAAAAGAUACUUGACAUUGGAAAAGCUCUAGCAAACGAAACUACACGAUCUUUUAUGCUAUGCUUAGGAUUGGGUCUUGUCCAUCACAUCAUUCUCCUAAUGAUGUGAUCCCGUUAUCAAUGACAUCCAAUGUCCAUAGUCAGGAAACCAUGACUAUCUGUUGAUCAACGAGCUAGUCAACUAGAGGCUUACUAGGGACACGUUGUGGUCUAUGUAUUCACACAUGUAUUACGAUUUCCGGACAAUACAAUUAUAGCAUGAACAAUAGACAAUUACCAUGAACAAAGAAAUAUAAUAAUAACCAUUUAUUAUUGCCUCUAGGGCAUAUUUCCAACAGUCUCCCACUUGCACUAGAGUCAAUAAUCUAGUUACAUUGUGAUGAAUCGAACACCCAUUGCGUCCUGGUGUUGAUCAUGUUUUGCCCUAGGGAGAGGUUUAGUCAACGGAUCUGCUACAUUCAGGUCCGUAUGUACUUUACAAAUAUCUAUGUCUCCAUUUUCAACACUUUCACGAAUGGAGUUGAAGCGACGCUUGAUAUGCCUAGUCUUCCUGUGAAACCUGGGCUCCUUCGCAAGUGCAAUAGCUCCAGUGUUGUCACAGAAGAGAGUCAUCGGGCCCGACGCAUUGGGAAUCACCCCUAGGUCGGUAAUGAACUCCUUCAUCCAGACCGCUUCCUGUGCUGCCUCCGAGGCUGCCAUGUACUCCGCUUCACAUGUAGAUCCCGCCACGACGCUUUGCUUGCAACUGCACCAGCUUACUGCUCCUCCAUUCAAAAUAUACACGUAUCCGGUUUGUGACUUCGAGUCAUCCAGAUCCGUGUCGAAGCUAGCGUCGACGUAACCCUUUACGACGAGCUCUUCGUCACCUCCAUAAACGAGAAACAUAUCCUUGGUCCUUUUCAGGUACUUCAGGAUAUUCUUGACCGCUGCCCAGUGUUCCAUGCCGGGAUUACUUUGGUACCUUCCUACCAAACUUACGGCAAGGUUUACAUCAGGUCUGGUACACAGCAUGGCAUAUAUAAUAGACCCUAUGGCCGAGGCAUAGGGGAUGACACUCAUCUUUUCUCUAUCUUCUGCCGUGGUCGGGCAUUGAGCCGUGCUCAAUUGCACACCUUGCAAUAUAGGCAAGAACCCCUUCUUGGACUGAUCCAUAUUGAACUUCUUCAAUAUGUUGUCAAGGUAUGUACUCUGUGAAAGACCAAUGAGGCGUCUUGAUCUAUCUCUAUAGAUCUUGAUGCCUAAUAUAUAAGCAGCUUCUCCAAGGUCCUUCAUUGAAAAACACUUAUUCAAAUAGGCCUUUAUACUUUCCAAGAAUUCUAUAUCAUUGCCCAUCAAUAGUAUGUCAUCCACAUAUAAUAUGAGAAAUGCUACAGAGCUCCCACUCACUUUCUUGUAAACACAGGCUUCUCCAUAAGUCUGUGUAAACCCAAACGCUUUGAUCAUUUCAUCAAAGCGAAUGUUCCAACUCCGAGAUGCCUGCACCAGCCCAUAGAUUGAGCGCUGGAGCUUGCAUACUUUGUUAGCAUUCUUAGGAUCGACAAAACCUUCCGGCUGCAUCAUAUACAACUCUUCCUUAAGGAAGCCAUUAAGGAAUGCCGUUUUGACGUCCAUCUGCCAUAUCUCAUAAUCAUAGUAUGCGGCAAUUGCUAACAUGAUUCGGACGGACUUCAGCUUCGCUACGGGUGAGAAAGUCUCAUCGUAGUCAACCCCUUGAACUUGUCGAUAACCCUUAGCGACAAGUCGAGCCUUAUAGAUGGUCACAUUACCAUCCGCGUCUGUCUUCUUCUUAAAGAUCCAUUUGUUUCCUAUGGCUCGCCGAUCAUCGGGCAAGUCAGUCAAAGUCCAUACUUCGUUUUCAUACAUGGAUCCUAUCUCGGAUUUCAUGGCUUCUAGCCAUUUGUCGGAAUCCGGGCCCGCCAUCGCUUCUUCAUAGUUCGAAGGUUCACCGUUGUCUAACAACAUGAUUUCCAGGACAGGGUUGCCGUACCACUCUGGUGCAUAACGUGUCCUUGUGGACCUACGAAGUUCAGUAGUAACUUGAUCCGAAGCUUCAUGAUCAUCAUCAUUAACUUCCGCGCCAGUCGGUGUAGGCACCACAGGAACAUCUUCUCACGCUGCGCUACUUUCCGGUACGGAAGGGGUGACUAUCACCUCAUCAAGUUCCACUUUCCUCCCACUCAAUUCUUUCGAGAGAAACUCCUUCUCUAGAAAGGACCCGUUCUUUGCAACGAAGAUCUUGCCUUCGGAUCUGAGGUAGAAGGUAUACCCAAUAGUUUCCUUGGGGUAUCCUAUGAAGACGCAUUUUUUCGAUUUGGGUUCGAGCUUUUCAGGUUGAAGUUUCUUGACAUAAGCAUCGCAUCCCCAAACUUUUAGAAACGACAGCUUAGGUUUCUUUCCAAACCAUAAUUCAUACGGUGUCGUCUCAACGGAUUUCGACGGUGCCCUAUUUAAAGUGAAUGCGGCAGUCUCUAAAGCAUAGCCCCAAAAUGAGAGUGGUAAAUCGGUAAGAGACAUCAUAGAUCGCACCAUAUCCAAUAGAGUGCGAUUACGACGUUCGGACACACCGUUUCUCUGAGGUGUUCCAGGCGGCGUGAGUUGUGAAACUAUUCCACAUUUCCUUAAGUGUGCACCAAACUCGUGACUUAAAUAUUCUCCACCACGAUCUGAUCGUAAGAAUUUUAUUUUCCUGUCACGUUGAUUCUCAACCUCACUCUGAAAUUCCUUGAACUUUUCAAAGGUUUCAGACUUGUGUUUCAUUAGGUAGACAUACCCAUAUCUACUUAAGUCAUCAGUGAGAGUGAGAACAUAACGAUAUCCUCCGCGAGCCUCAACACUCAUUGGACCGCACACAUCGGUAUGUAUGAUUUCCAAUAAGUUGGUUGCUCGCUCCAUUGUUCCGGAGAACGGAGUCUUGGUCAUCUUACCCAUGAGGCAUGGUUCGCACGUGUCAAAUGAUUCGUAAUCAAGAGACUCCAAAAGUCCAUCUGCAUGGAGCUUCUUCAUGCGCUUGACACCAAUGUGACCAAGGCGGCAGUUCCACAAGUAUGUGGGACUAUCGUUAUCAACUUUACAUCUUUUGGUAUUCACACUAUGAAUAUGUGUAACAUCUCAUUCGAGAUUCAUCAAAAAUAAACCAUUGACCAGCGGGGCAUGACCAUAAAACAUACCUCUCAAAUAAAUAGAACAACCAUUAUUCUCGGAUUUAAAUGAGUAGCCAUCUCGAAUUAAACGAGAUCCAGAUACAAUGUUCAUGCUCAAAGCUGGCACUAAAUAACAAUUAUUGAGGUUUAAAACUAAUCCCGUGGGUAGAUGCAGAGGUAGCGUGCCGACGGCGAUCACAUCGACCUUGGAACCAUUCCCGACGCGCAUCGUCACCUCGUCCUUCGCCAGUCUCCGUUUAUUCCGUAGUUCCUGUUUUGAGUUACAAAUAUGAGCAACCGCACCGGUAUCAAAUACCCAGGAGCUACUAUGAGUACUGGUAAGGUACACAUCAAUUACAUGUAUAUCACAUAUACCUUUGGUGUUGCCGGCCUUCUUGUCCGCUAAGUAUUUGGGGCAGUUCCGCUUCCAGUGACCACUUCCCUUGCAAUAAAAGCACUCAGUUUCAGGCUUGGGUCCAUUCUUUGGCUUCUUCCCAGUAACUGGCUUACCGGGCGCGGCAACUCCCUUGCCGUCCUUCUUGAAGUUCUUCUUACCCCUGCCCUUCUUGAACUUAGUGGUUUUAUUCACCAUCAACACUUGAUGUUCUUUUCUGAUCUCCCCCUCCGCUGAUUUCAGCAUUGAAUAUACCUCAGGAAUGGUCUUUUCCAUCCCCUGCAUAUUGUAGUUCAUCACAAAGCUCUUGUAGCUUGGUGGAAGCGACUGGAGGAUUCUGUCAAUGACUGCGUCAUCCGAGAGAUUAACUCCCAGCUGAGUCAAGCGGUUGUGCAACCCAGACAUUCUGAGUAUGUGCUCACUAACAGAACUAUUCUCCUCCAUCUUACAGUUGAAGAACUUGUCGGAGACUUCAUAUCUCUCGACCCGGGCAUGAGCUUGGAAAACCAAUUUCAGCUCCUCGAACAUCUCAUAUGCUCCAUGUUUCUCAAAACGCUUUUGGAGACCCGGUUCUAAGCUGUAAAGCAUGCCGCACUGAACGAGGGAGUAAUCAUCAGCACGUGAUUGCCAAGCGUUCAUAACGUCUUGGUUCUCAGGGAUUGGUGCUUCACCUAGCGGUGCUUCUAAGACAUAAUCUUUCUUGGCUACUAUGAGGAUGAUCCUCAGGUUCCGGACCCAGUCCGUAUAGUUGCUGCCAUCAUCUUUCAGCUUGGUUUUCUCUAGGAACGCGUUGAAAUUGAGGACAACGUUGGCCAUUAGAUCUACAAGACAUAGUGUAAAGAUUUUAGACUAAGUUCAUGAUAAUUAAGUUCAUCUAAUCAAAUUACUCAAUGAACUCCCACUCAGAUAGACAUCCCUCUAGUCAUCUAAGUGAAACAUGAUCCGAGUUAACUAGGCCGUGUCCGAUCAUCACGUGAGAUGAACUAGUCAAGAUCGGUGAACAUCUCCAUGUUGAUCGUAUCUUCUAUACGACUCAUGCUCGACCUUUCGGUCCUCCGUGUUCCGAGGCCAUGUCUGUACAUGCUAGGCUCGUCAAGUCAACCUAAGUGUAUUGCGUGUGUUCCGAGGCCAUGUCUGUACAUGCUAGGCUCGUCAACACCCGUUGUAUGCGAACGUUAGAAUCUAUCACACCCGAUCAUCACGUGGUGCUUCGAAACAACGAACCUUCGCAACGGUGCACAGUUAGGGUGAACACUUUCUUGAAAUUAUUAUAAGGGAUCAUCUUACUUACUACCGUCAUUCUAAGCAAAUAAGAUGCAAAAACAUGAUAAACAUCACAUGCAAUCAAAUAGUGACAUGAUAUGGCCAAUAUCAUUAUGCUCCUUUGAUCUCCAUCUUCGGGGCACCAUGAUCAUCUUCGUCACCGGCAUGACACCAUGAUCUCCAUCAUCAUGAUCUCCAUCAUUGUGUCUUCAUGAAGUCGUCACGCCAACGAUUACUUCUACUUCUAUGGCCAACGCGUUUAGCAACAAAGUAAAGUAAUUUACAUGGCGUUAUUCAAUGACACGCAGGUCAUGCAAAAUAAUAAAGACAACUCCUAUGGCUCCUGCCGGUUGUCAUACUCAUCGACAUGCAAGUUGUGAUUCCUAUUACAAGAAUAUGAUCAAUCUCAUACAUCACAUAUAUCAUUCAUCACAUCUUCUGGCCAUAUCACAUCACAUAACAUAUGCUGCAAAAACAAGUUAGACGUCCUCUAAUUGUUGUUGCAAGUUUUUACGUGGUUUGUAGGUUUCUAGCAAGAACGUUUCUUACCUACGUAUGACCACAACGUGAUUGCCAAUUUCUAUUUACCCUUCAUAAGGACCCUUUUCAUCGAAUCCGUUCCGACUAAAGUAGGAGAGACAGCCACCCGCUAGCCACCUUAUGCAACUAGUGCAUGUCAGUCGGUGGAACCUGUCUCACGUAAGCGUACGUGUAAGGUCGGUCCGGGCCGCUUCAUCCUACAAUGCCGCCGAAACAAGAAACGACUAGUAGCGGCAAGAAGAAUUGGCAACAUCAACGCCCACAACUUCUUUGUGUUCUACUCGUGCAUAGUAACUACGCAUAGGCCUGGCUCAUGAUGCCACUGUUGGGAAUCGUAGCAUAAUUUUAAAAUUUUCCUACGCUCACCAAGAUGCAUCUAUGGAUUAUACUAGCAACGAGGGGAAAGGAGUGCAUCUACAUACCCUUGUAGCUCGCGAGCGGAAGCGUUCCAAUGAACGUGGAUGACGGAGUCGUACUCGCCGUGAUCCAAAUCACCGAUGACCGAGUGCCGAACGGACGGCACCUCCGCGUUCAACACACGUAAGGUGCAGCGACGUCUCCUCCUUCUUGAUCCAGCAAGGGGGAAGGAGAGGUUGAUGGAGAUCCAGCAGCACGACGGCGUGGUGGUGGAUGUAGCGGGAUGCCGGCAGGGCUUCGCCGACCAUAUACGAGAGAGAGAGGUGUUGCAGGGGGAGAGGGAGGCGCCCAAGGCUGUAAUGCUACUGCCCUCCCUCCCCCCUUUAUAUAGGCCCCCUGGGAGGGGGGGGGGGCGCCGGCCAGAACCCAUCUAGGGUGGGGGGCCGGCGGCCAGGGGGGUAACUUACCCCCCAAGGCAAGUGGGAAGCCCCCCCACCCUAGGGUUCCCAACCCUAGGCGCAUGGGGGGAGGCCCAUGGGGGGGCGCCCAGCCCACUAGGGGCUGGUUCCCUUCCCACUUCAGCCCACGGGGCCCUCCGGGAUAGGUGGCCCACCCGGUGGACCCCCGGGAUCCUUCCGGUGGUCCCGGUACAAUACCGGUAACCCCCGAAACUUUCCCGGUGGCCGAAACUUGACUUCCUAUAUAUAAUUCUUUACCUCCGGACCAUUCCGGAACUCCUCGUGACGUCCGGGAUCUCAUCCGGGACUCCGAACAACUUUCGGGUUUCCGCAUACACAUAUCUCUACAACCCUAGCGUCACCGAACCUUAAGUGUGUAGACCCUACGGGUUCGGGAGACAUGCAGACAUGACCGAGACGCCUCUCCGGUCAAUAACCAACAACGGGAUCUGGAUACCCAUGUUGGCUCCCACAUGUUCCACGAUGAUCUCAUCGGAUGAACCACAAUGUCGAGGAUUCAAUCAAUCCCGUAUACAAUUCCCUUUGUCAAUCGGUAUGUUACUUGCCCGAGAUUCGAUCGUCGGUAUCCCAAUACCUUGUUCAAUCUCGUUACCGGCAAGUCUCUUUACUCGUACCAUAAUGCAUGAUCCCGUGACUAACGCGUUAGUCACAUAGAGCUCAUUAUGAUGAUGCAUUACCGAGUGGGCCCAGAGAUACCUCUCCGUCAUACGGAGUGACAAAUCCCAGUCUCGAUCCGUGCCAACCCAACAGACACUUUCGGAGAUACCCGUAGUGCACCUUUAUAGUCACCCAGUUACGUUGUGACGUUUGGCACACCCAAAGAACUCCUACGGUAUCCGGGAGUUGCACGAUCUCAUGGUCUAAGGAAAAGAUACUUGACAUUGGAAAAGCUCUAGCAAACGAAACUACACGAUCUUUUAUGCUAUGCUUAGGAUUGGGUCUUGUCCAUCACAUCAUUCUCCUAAUGAUGUGAUCCCGUUAUCAAUGACAUCCAAUGUCCAUAGUCAGGAAACCAUGACUAUCUGUUGAUCAACGAGCUAGUCAACUAGAGGCUUACUAGGGACACGUUGUGGUCUAUGUAUUCACACAUGUAUUACGAUUUCCGGACAAUACAAUUAUAGCAUGAACAAUAGACAAUUACCAUGAACAAAGAAAUAUAAUAAUAACCAUUUAUUAUUGCCUCUAGGGCAUAUUUCCAACACUUUCUUCAUGACUUAUACAUGUUCCUAUGACUAUGAGAUUAUGCAACUCCCGAAUACCGGAGGAACACUUUGUGUGCUACCAAACGUCACAACGUAACUAGGUGAUUAUAAAGGUGCUCUACAGGUGUCUCUGAUGGUGUUUGUUGAGUUGGCAUAGAUCGAGAUUAGGUUUUGUCACUCUGAUUGUCAGAGAGGUAUCUCUAGGCCCUCUCGGUAAUGCACAUCACUAUAAGCCUUGCAAGCAAUGUGACUAAUGAGUUACUUGCGGGAUGAUGUAUUACGGAACGAGUAAAGAGACUUGCCGGUAACGAGAUUGAACUAGGUAUUGAGAUACCGACGAUCGAAUCUCGGGCAAGUAACAUACCGAUGACAAAGGGAACAACGUAUGUUGUUAUGCGGUUUGACCGAUAAAGAUCUUCGUAGAAUAUGUGGGAUCCAAUAUGAGCAUUCAGGUUCCGCUAUUGGUUAUUGACCAGAGACGUGUCUCGGUCAUGUCUACAUAGUUCUCGAACCCGUAGGGUCCGCACGCUUAACGUUCGGUGACGAUCGGUAUUAUGAGUUUAUGUGAUUUGAUGUACCGAAGGUAGUUCGGAGUCCCGGAUAUGAUCACGGACAUGACGAGGAGUCUCGAAAUGGUCGAGACAUAAAGAUCGAUAUAUUGGACGACUAUAUUUGGACAUCGGAAUGGUUCCGGGUGAAAUUGGGAUUUUACGAGAGUACCGAGAGGUUACUGGAACCCCCCGGUAAGUGUAUGGGCCUUAUUGGGCCUUAGUGGAAUAGAGGAGGAGGAAGCUUAGGAGGGGGCACGGCCCCCCAAGCCCAAUCCGAAUUGGGUGAGGGGGCCGGCCCCCCUUUCCUUCCUCUCUCCCUCCUCUUUCCUACCUCUCCUACUCCAACUUGGAAGGGGGGGGGGGGGAAUCCUACUCCGGUGGGAGUAGGACUCCCCUAUGGCGCGCCCUAGAGAGGGCCGGCCCUCCCCCUCCUCUACUCCUUUAUAUACGAGGGAGGGGGCACCCCAUAGACACACAAGUUGACCAUUGAUCUCUUGCCGUGUGCGGUGCCCCCUCCACCAUAAUCCAGCUCGGUCAUAUCGUAGCGGUGCUUAGGCGAAGCCCUGCGUCAGUAACUUCAUCAUCACCGUCAUCACGCCGUCGUGCUGACGAAGCUCUCCCUCGAAGCUCUACUGGAUCGUGAGUUCGUGGGACGUCGCCGAGCUGAACGUGUGCAGUCCGCGGAGGUGCCGUACCUUCGGUGCUAGGAUCGGUCGAUCGUGAAGACGUACGACUACAUCAACCACGUUAUCAUAAUGCUUCCGCUUACGGUCUACGAGGGUACGUAGACAACACUCUCCCCUCUGGUUGCUAUGCAUCACCAUGAUCUUGCGUGUGCGUAGGAAAAUUUUGAAAUUACUACGUUCCCCAACAGGUAGCCUGUAUAUGCCUACCACCAUGGCCCCUGGCGGUAGGUGAAAGUGUCAGAUCCCGAAAUGGUUUCGAACAUGGGUCAGAUCUCGAUUUUCUUUGACAAAAGGGUCAAAACACGAAAUUUUGCCUCCCUACAACCCUCGGCUUGCUGCCCCAUGCAGAACCUCGUCGGUUGGCCGUUGUGCCGAUUCCAUCUUGGCUUGUGUUGGUUGCAGCAUCUCGGCUUGUCGCUUGCAGCUGGUUGUGGCUUGUCGUUGCAAGGUUACAACAUCCCCUAUGGCGCGGCAGUGGCUCAGGCGCUUUCUAGCAAAACUUUUCGCAGAGAAAAAGCACCAUCAUUGCGGAUUCCUAGCAAAAUCCAUUGUCAGUUCCAGCAAAAAUUGUCAUCGGUCGCAGCAAAAAGCACCAAUGUUGCGGAUCCCUAGCAAAGUCAGUCACCUGUUCCAGCAAAAAAUGUCACCGGUCGCAGCAAAAUACAUUGUCUAUCAAAACAAAAAGCAUCACCGUGAGAUUGACCUGGGCCUCUUGGGUGUUUAACCAAGCACAUGUUGAGCCCUUUAACAUAAGGAUUAAGAGUUUGACAGUGUGCCGAUCAUCACCAUUAGCCACCUGGGAUAUGAGGAGGUAAAAUAUGUUACCCAAAAUCUCAGGGUCCGCUUCCGUUGUACUUGUCCAUCGUGUUUAUCAUGAAGCUAAAUGCAAACUUGUAGCAAACAUUCUCGUCGAUGAAGCAUGCCAUUGCUUGUCAUCGAAAGCUGGUUGGUUUGGAUCCUGAGCAUUCUGGCGCAGCCGAUGUGCAUGCUACUACUCGGUUUCUCUCAGGGAAGGGUCACACGAUACGUUCAGGCUAUGGGGCAUCCCCCGAUUCGCCUUGGGAUGAUAUAUGGACGUGGAGACACAUAGGUGGUCCCGGUGUGACUCUUGGACAGGGCCUAAUUAUCCCGCUGGAUCAUCACCGUCUUCAGAUACUCCAUCCCUUGCUCGAACCUCCGCUUGUCCGGAUGCCCCUUUGGGAAUUGUGUCAUGAUCAAGGCUCCUCCCUCUACCUGCAUAUUCUUGGCCGGAGUGCGAUAGGACUCUGCGCCCGCCUGGAUCAACAACGUUCACGAGUGCCUCUUUCACCCGUCUACUUUAGGAAGGCAAAAAACACAUAUUUGACCUGUUGGCUAAAUCAAUUCACGAUCUGAACUGCUCUUGAAAAAAAUUCACAAACUGACCAUUUUGUGUGACGCCUGACAGACGGGCGCUGCACUACACUAUGCAGCGCCUUUGUCUUAGGGGCCAGGCGCGGCCCCACAUCCAACCGUGCAGCGCCUAAGCGCUAGGCGCCACACAGUAUCAUGUGCAGCGCCUAGCGCUUAGGCGCUGCACAUUGACUUAAGCCGCAUCGGGCCAGCCCUCCCCAGACAGUUCUUCCCUCCCAGGCAGUUGCUCUCUGUCAACAGAGAGCAGCGGCGGCGCCCCCUUUGAUCCCCCCACACCCCUCUCAGAUCUGGAGAUUUCAGCUGUGGAAUCGAUCUCUAAUCCCUCCUACUAGGUAAACUCCUCCGUUCCCUUUCUUUUCCUCUGUAAAUUUGUUGCCAUUUUUAGAGAUUUGUCCAAGAUUGGGCGGAACCCUUGAUUUGCUUGGUUUGGAUCUUUAUUUGUCCAAGAUUGGGUGUUGUGAUUUAGGAUGUGUAGUCAUAGUGGUACUACCCUAGUAUUGUUCAUUAGUUCAUAAUAUAUGAUUCUUGUUAGUGAAACCCUAGAUUGUUUAGUUUUUUAGAUAUAUAUGAGAUGCCUAGUUUUGUAGAUAAUUAUGAGAUGUUGAGUUUUGUAGCUAUAUAUGAGAUGUUGAGUUUUUUUAGAUAUAUAUGAGAUGUUGAGUUUAUUUGAAAUAUGAGAUGUUGAGUUUAUUUUUAGAUACAUAUGACAUAGGAGAUAUAUAUGAGAAUUUUUCAAAUUGGUAUUGUAGAUCAUUUAUUCAUUGUGUGAGAAGGAGAUGUUGAGAUUCUUGUAGAUGAAUACAUAUGAGAUGUUUAGAUGAACACAUAUGAGAUGUUUAGUGUAUACGGAUAUUUGAGAUGAACUCAUAUAUGUUUAUUGUUUGAACUUUGUAAGGAUGGUUUGCCUUCUCGAUGAUGCCUAUGACACACGACACCGGGCCUACAUGAUGCGCGAGAAGGGGAUGGUAAUAAUGAGUAAUCUAAAUAUUUUGCAAAUUUGCCUUUAGUUGAAAUUGACACGCCCUAAGAUUUGUCAUUACUUGUUUUUUGCAGAAGCUUGAACCUCUGAAGAUUCGGUAUCACGGGGUCUCUGGUGCUGCCAUGCCCGACGAUGAGCGGUACACACCCUACAUCCAGCAAGCAGGACUCCUCCCGUGGAUUCAGUUGGUCAGCUGGUCCACGCCGAACCUCAACGCUCCACUGGUGUCCUCUCUUGCUGAUCGGUGGAGGCCGGAGACGCGCAGUUUCCAUCUUCGGACCGGGAGAUGACCGUGACGCUCCAGGAUGUCUCCUUGAUCACUGGUCUUCCUAUCGACGGGAGGCCUCUCUGUAUGAGUACCGAUUCUGAUGGGUGGCGCCAGCAGAUGACUGCUCUUAUCGGUUUGGCUCCUAUCGGGGCUGAGGCUGAUGUAGAAGAGGGACAAGAGAAGAAGAAGAAGGAAAGGAAAGCAGCCGGAGCUGCUUUCACGUGGAUUCAAGCAAACUUUGCGCAUUGCCCUGUGGAUGCCACUGAUGAUGUGAUCCAGACACAUGCUUGUGUCUAUAUGUGGUACGUUAUCUCGAGGAUUUUGUUUCCUGACGCCACAAGGAAGAACGCUCCAUGGAUGUGGCUGAAGGCGUUGACCGUCUUCGAUAGCAGAUGGAGCUGGGGUUCAGCGACUCUUGCCUACUUGUACCGACAGGUAGUUGGUUUGUUUUGUUAUCAAUUCAUUUAUUCAUUAGCAAUGCAACCUUGCUGUCAAGUUAACAUUGUUUUCUUUGAUAUGCAGCUGGACGAUGCGUGUUGCAGGAUCACAAAUAGUGCAUGCAUUGGUGGUAAUCUGCUUCUACUUUCAGUAUGGAGCUGGGAGCGUCUGCCUGUUGGACGCCCGAAGAGCGUCAAGUUUAAUCCUUUGGAUGUAGAUGACGAAUUACGAUGCCCCACUUGGGCUUACAAGUGGGAUGUGGUAUCCGAGAUGACAAACGAUGUCAAUCUCAUGCACCAAAAGUACAUUGCCGAGUUGUACACAAUUAUGCCUGAGCAGGUAACGAGGACAUUACAACAGUCAUUUCUCAUGCUUGCCUGAAAACUUGUCAUCAAUGUUGCGUUGUUGUCCUAUUUCAUAGGUGGAAUGGCAGCCAUAUGGCGCCAAUGACACAGUAGGGUUCACUGACAUGUUUGUCGUCAACCCGAUGUGCUUGCGGGAUAGGGAUCUUUGGCUUAUGCGGUGCCCACUGAUAUGCAACUGGGUGGUUGAGCUUCAUUUGCCACAUCGCGUGUAUCAUCAGUUUGGUCUGUUCCAGCCUCACCCGCCGGAAUGGGUGGACACGGACAAAGCAUUUCAUAGGUAAGAGAGCAUGAACCAUAUUGACUAAGCAUCGCCACUCCUUCUUGAUUGUGCUAAUGUUUGGUUUUCUACCGUGCAGGUUGGACAGUAGAAAGCAGCGGAAGAUAAAUGACUAGGACAAGCAUCAUUCAUCGUAUGUUACCCAUUUCCAUCUUAGUGUGGAGCAAGCUCGUAACAGUGCAUACGCCCAGCUUCGUGAGCAUAGCUCACUUGCUUUCGAUAACUACAUACGAUGGUUUCUUGAAAAUGCUCGAGUUGAGAUAUGCCCGCUGGCAUACAAUGAUGAUAUUCUUGAAGAUCCCGCAAACUUUGAGGAUAUAUCGAAGCAUCAGUACAAAAAAAUGUCAGGGAAGGGGUAGGAGUCCCUGCUGUUCCGGUGAUUAACUAUGUGGUAAAGUGUUCCCUUCUUUACUUUCCCGUUGGCCGUAUUACACAUGUUUGAAUGGCUAACGUGUUACUUCGUUCUCAUCCGCAGCGCAACCAGAUCAAGAAAGCAGCCGAUGAAAGCCAGUCUAUUCUGGAGAAGACACCGGUUGGAGAAGGCAAUGAUGAAGGUCCACUACAAAAAUUCCUCAAGGUACAUAUCACACUCAGGUGUCCAUGUUACAUAUGUUGCGGAGUUGGGUAUCUUAUACACUUGUUCAUGUUACAGCGUCAGGCCAAGAAGUUAAGGCGGUUAUCGAACCUUCUUGGUUGCCGUGACCUAGAAUAUGAUGAACCAUCUGCCUCUAGGUCUGGUACACCAUCAGACCCCUUAUCUCACCAGCAGGGGGACGAUGUGACUUCCUCAUAUGCUUAUGUGGAUGAUGAGGGUGCGGUCACCCAAGAGGUAUGACUAAUCUUUUAGAUGCAAUUCUCACUUGAUUACGACGCCGGUACCAUAUUGUUUGAUUGUGUGAUAGGUUGAUGGACUUGAUGAUGACAUUACUUUGGCGGACCUCAAGUUCGGUCCGCAUACAUGUUGAAGCGUAGGCAGCCCAUAAGCCGGUUCACGCCCACCGACUUGGACAACAGAGGCAACCCAAAGGUGGUCAUAGGGAGCUCGCAGAUGGCGAGCUUGGAUGAUGAGGCGGAGGAGGAAGAGGAGGCUCCUCCUGCCAGAAGGAAGAAGAUAACCACCAGGCGUGGCCGCAGGAACACGCGCGGAAGGCAUUAAUCGUUGUCGUUUUUAUUAUGAAACUGAACUUGUCGUCGUUUCAUUAGGUUUAUGAACUUGUGAGGUUAUGUGAUAUGUUAGUGAACUCUUAGUAGUGUGCUACUUGUGUUUGCGAACUUGUCGUUGUGAAUUGUCUUAAAUGAUGUGAUGUUCAAGUUAUUACUUGUGUUUGUUCAAAUUGCUAUGAAGUUCAAGUUAUUGUAAGUGUUGUGAUGUUCAAGCGAAUUGAAAUUGCUGUCAACGACUUCUCUUUUUGCAGUUUUGCAGUUUCCAGAUGUGCAGCGCCCAGGGCUCAGGCGCUGCACUAUACUGUGUAGCGCCCAACAGUCAGGCCCUCACACAUUGCUCAAAGGCCCAAAAUGCACGGCCAAAUACUCGGACGGUCCUCCCGUUGUGAAUCAAUGUUUGGUGCCCAUGAGGCUCGACCACGUGAACCAUGCCUGGGUUUGUGGCAGCCAUAGCUAACAACAACCUAGGGAGUCGGUUGUAUAAUUCCUCCCAAUUGCCAUACAACAUCUUGAAUGUGGCUUGCUUCGCCUUCCAUGCCUUGCCGUACUUCACCUUGUAAUGAAAGAUGGCUUUCACAAGGUCAAUGACACUCUUAAUGCUCAUUGUUGGAAGUGUGGGUAUUUGGUUGAAAAACCUGUAAGCGAUGAACUCGGACUUGUGUUGUCUGUGUUCUUGGGACACAAGCUUGCCAUCCGCAUUCUUGUGUCGGCACAUAUGACUUGGUACACAACUCACUAUGCGCCAAGUGGGACCUCCUUUCCAUGGACUUGCACGCACAAUCCAUGGACAUCUUGGCACUUCACAUUUAACCGUGUAACACACAUUGACGUUCGAGUUUGCCACUCUAUGUGGACGAUAAUGCGUAACCAAGUAGUUGUCGAGCCACAUCUUCAAUUCCAAGAAGGAUUCAAACUCACAACCGUGAUAUAUCCCGUUCUUGCCGUCUUCCAAAUCAUGGUGAGAACUUGGCCUACCUCCAAGAGAUAUACAUUUGCCACCACCUACACCGGCUUCAUCCGCAAGACUAAGAUCCUUGAACAAUGGUGUCUUGUGAUCCCGCCGGAAUACCUUCUUAAAUGCUCCGACCUCCUUCGCCAUGAACCCCUCCUCAUCAACUUCUUCAUCGGGACCAUCGUCAUCCGAGUCCGAUGCAUAUGAACGGGAAAAAGGGAUGGAUUGGUCCAUUGUCUCUUGCACAUGAUAUUUGUUGAGAUCACCCACAUUGUUGUCAUGGAGAUCAACUUCGUUGUCAUCCUCCUCGUACUCAUCAUUCUCCUCUUCAAAAGCUUCAUUUUGGUUGUUUGAAAUCAGGCUCAAUGUUGGCCAAACUUGUUGCGUCAAAUGAGGUUCACUCAUUUGAUCUUGGUUCAUGGGUGAGGGAGUACUAGCAACCAACGGGGAGGGGUUCCAGUUCAAGUCCAAAUGCAAACUAGACUCAACCUUCUUGGAGGCAAAUAACUCAAGAGCCUUGUCUAGAGAUUCGGCAACCGUCUCCUUGUAUGCAACCCAGCGUUGCUCGGAGUUCACACGCAUUGUCUUCCAACAGAUGUGCAUUCCAAAACAAACAUUAUGCCUUCCCUCCAACUCAACAACGUCACUUGGGUCCAUCCAAUUUAAAUCCUUCCUCACUUGUUCCAAGACAUCCGCAUAGUUAGGACUACUCUCAAACACCAUGUCAAGCUCAUCCGGGUCCGACUCAACAUUGCCUUUCAAAAGGCCUCUUUAUCCACAUGAUGAACAUAAACACAUGUUCUUCCCAUCCCUAAAAUAAUCAAAAACACACAUAUAUCAAAUAAGUACUUAACCGAAUAUUUGCACAAAAUACAUAAGCCCUAACAUAGAUAUGAAACAAUAACCCUAACCCCAACUUAACAAUAACCACAACCCUAACCAUAGCAUAACCCUAACCCUAACCCCAACAUAACAACACACAUAACCCUAACCCUAGCAUAGUAGGAAGCCUAACCCUAGCAAAUUGGCAAAGAAACAUAACAUGUUCCAACACAAAUUUCCAAAUCAAAGCCAAAACUAGGGUUUUCCCAAACUAGCAAGAUUUGAGCAAAUGUGACAAUUCCUAGAAGAUUUCACAAAACCAUUAUCGCUUAGCUUUUGACUUUUCGGGAAUAUAUUGGCGGAUGAAUUAGUCGUUGUUGUUCUUGUUUCUUUAGUCCCCUUAGUAAUCCCUAUACCGGUCAUGUUUCUUGGAUUAUUUACAAGCGGUAUUCAAGCUCUUAUUUUUGCAACAUUAGCCGCAGCCUAUAUAGGUGAAUCCAUGGAGGGUCAUCAUUGAAUUGACUCUUUUUGGAAAUAGUAUUUUUUUUGCAGCUUAGCUCAAUCAUGCAUGGUUCCUAUGGAUGAAAAAGAGGGGGUCGGAGGAGAUUACCUUAAGGGAGGGGUUGGCUUUGAAAUCCACGGACAAAUACUCCGGAUUUGCAAGAUUNNNNNNNNNNNNNNNNNNNNNNNNNNNNNNNNNNNNNNNNNNNNNNNNNNNNNNNNNNNNNNNNNNNNNNNNNNNNNNNNNNNNNNNNNNNNNNNNNNNNNNNNNNNNNNNNNNNNNNNNNNNNNNNNNNNNNNNNNNNNNNNNNNNNNNNNNNNNNNNNNNNNNNNNNNNNNNNNNNNNNNNNNNNNNNNNNNNNNNNNNNNNNNNNNNNNNNNNNNNNNNNNNNNNNNNNNNNNNNNNNNNNNNNNNNNNNNNNNNNNNNNNNNNNNNNNNNNNNNNNNNNNNNNNNNNNNNNNNNNNNNNNNNNNNNNNNNNNNNNNNNCAGAAAGUGCAGCGCCUAAAGGACCGGGCUGCACAUUACAUGUGUGGCGCCUAGACCUUAGGCGCUGCAUAUUACAUGUGUGGUGCCUAUGCCUUAGGCGCUGCACGGCUGGAUGUGGGGCCGCGCCUGGCCCCGGGCUGCCACGCUGGCCCGGCGUGUGGCGCCCAAGAGCCUGGUGCUGCACAGUAUAGUGUGGCGCCUAGCUGUCAGGCGCCACACAAAACGGUAAGUUUAUGAUUUUUUUCAAGGACAGUUCAGAUCGUGAAUUGAUUUCACCAACAGGUCAAAUAUGUGUUUUUUGCCCUUUAGGAAGGCCUUGUCCUCUGCCGACAUGGUCUUUUCGAUGGGAUGGCAAGACCGGAAGAACUCCUCGCUGCGUCCAGGCCCGCCGCCCUCCUCUCCAAGCAUAUCUUCUCCUUGGAAACCUUGAUGAGAGCCGACAAGACUUCCACCCGGACUGCAUCUUGCUCUUCUCUUCUAGGAUCGCUCCAUCAAGCGCUUCAAUAUCCCUAUCACUGAAUUCUUACACCUCACUGCUUUCCUCUUGGCUUGGAUCUGGCGUGUCUACGAUAUAGUAGGACUGGACCGAGGUCGCCUGCCACGUGCCGAUAGGCAGCAUGGCUCGCGGUUGGCUGUCAGUCGACUCGCACAUCUCCUCGUCAUGAACAUCCAACUCCUCAUUUGCCUCGAGGAUGGUGGUGAGAUAUUCAAUGUUGGUGAUUAAGUGGGUUGUGGGUGGGCCAAAAAAUUUCGCAUGCUGCUCCUAGGCCUCACAUGACGUCAGACCUUGGAGAAGGAGCUCGUUGCGUGAAUCUGCGGUGUACUCCAGAUUGCUUAAUCGAACGAUCUGUCCUGGGGCACAGCUCUCGACUUGGCCCAAGCGGCUGGUUGAGUCGGCGACAAAGGUCAUGGCGCCGAAUGAAGAUCUAACCCGACGUGUAGAUCGUGUCGUCGUCAGCUACCAAUCCCAUCUUAGCACUGAGUUCACCAUGCGGGACCUGCAUGGCCACCACUGUCGGAGCUGAUUCCCUCAGAUCCCUAGAUAGGGUAUCCCGGUGAGGUGAGUAAAUCAGAGGGGAAACAUGAGACAUGCAUAUUUACCUAGGUUCAGGCCCUCCUUACGAGGUAAAACCCUAUUGUGAUUACGGUGUACAAAGUACAUGUAUUAGUCUUAUAUAAGAUAUCGGGGCCCCUAGAGUUACAUGAACCUAGUCGGCUAUGUUGGUGGAGGGGAGUCCGCCAUGUCUUUGGCUUCCUUAUCCUGAGCAACAAGGCUUCAAGAGUUUUCCUUCUAUAAGUCCCAUGGGCCAGCAUGACGACCCAUGGUGAAACCGGCCUUGGAGGCCUCGGGCCGGCCUACUCAGGCUGACAACCAGAGAGGUACGACACCCUUCACCGUAACACCAUCACAACCUGUGUUGAAGCCAUUGCUUGUCACGAGGCUAUGUGUUUGUUAUAGGAUCUUCAAGUGAGCGUGGGAGUGGUCACUUCAGAUUGUACUGGCAUAGUGCAGGACAUCCAUGAGGAAAAAGGAGGUCAACAUGGACUGAUCAUCAAGGAAAUUAGAGCUAUGGAAGAUGGUGCAGGGGUAACCCCCUUCCGCCAUGAACGUCAUGGGUCAAAUGUGGAUGCUCAUCCAGUUUCAGAAAAAAAAGUGGAUGCUCACAAUAUAGGAGAAAACUCUAGUUUUAUCACCAGAUAGGCAUGUCUAGUUGCUUGAGCCCCCGUGGUAUAUGUAAACUCUAUGAUUGAUUAUUAAAGCUCGGGUGUGUUAUUCUAAAAAAAUGUUUUGGAGCAUUGGUUUUUCUUUUUGCCCAGAUCUCCACGAAUGUCAUUCCAUCACGAAAAUCUGCAUGCUUGUGGAAUAUACAUGAAUGUUUGUUGCCAAAAAAAUUCAGAAUUUUUAUUUUUUUACACUUUUUUGUUACUGUUCCGAAUGGUGCAUGUGAGCUCAUGCUCACAAACUCCAUGUCCCACUCUAACAAAUCAACUCUCGGGUUGGAAAUAAUAAUUUAUAUUGAUUUCUUCUUCUGUGAAUUGAGUCUUCCAAAUGAUAGACAACUCUACAUUUGGUCUUAUAGGAAUGAUAAUAGAUGGAGCACAUCUCUUUAGAAUACUACUAGGAAAGGAGCACAUGUGUUGCAACGGGGUAAUAAAAUUAUGCUCUUCAAAUUGAGUGACCCAUAACAUAAUACCCAUAAUAUACAACCCUCGUUGUUAAUUCAAAUCAAUAAUACAGAUGUUUGUUGCACUUAAUAAUUAAACAUGCUAAUAUAAUACAUUUAAUUGAUGGACUACAUGACCCAAGCUUAUAGACCGGUUGUCAUGAACCAAAAUGAAUCAAACUGAUUAAGUGGUUGAUAUGUAUAAGGUCAAUGAAACCAUUGAGAGUGGCAACUACAAGCUCAACGCACCGUGAGGCUUAAGUUCUCUUAUUGCAGACAUGUGUAGCCAGUGCUACUAACAUCAUUAAGCCAUCAUUAUUAGGGGUAGUAGUGCAUAGUCUUCUUCAUAGGUUGUGAUUUGUGAAAUACUCUCGCAGUACAUUGUCUUGUUACACCGUCCUGUGCCGUCGUCUCGUCAAGUCCUAAUCGGGAGCAGUGUUCAGCUGAUAAGAACUCUACCAGAAAGUAAUGGCAAUCAAGCUGGCAUUGUAUCAGUGCAUGCUCAUAAAUCACACAUACAGUUGGCCUCUCCUCACAAAUAUGCAAGACACAGAAAACAUGUGUUAUCGUUAAUUGACUACUGGAUAGUUUUGAUACAAUAAAUCAGUAUAAAAAAGCACAGGCAAAUGGAGAAAAUAUGAACCUAUGGCGUUGCACUCGCUCCUCCUCACUAACCUUGGUGACUUGGCUGUCUUCAUCUAAAUUUCCCAAGAUCUUUUCUGAUGGCCCUUUUGGUGCACCAACUCAAAAUUACAAGAAAUAGGACACCCUUCUGCUUAUCGGUCUCGGAAUUGGCACAACUCCUUUGGUCAGCAUACCGAAGGAUGUCCUGAACAACAUGAAGUCCAAUAAGGGAACGUAAUGACUGAAAGUUCUUUCUCAUACAUGAGUAGAGAUGCACAAUGCCUAAACUGGAUUCAACAGGAGCAGCAAAGCAUGGAUGACGACGAGUUAGGCAGCACCUUCAAGGGCAACGGGCCAAGCCGAGCAUACUUCUGUUGGGUUACCAUGGAACAAGCGGCUCGUUUGAAUGGUUCAAAGGUGAUAUAGGUGAAGUUGCUGAAAGUGAUGACGGUAUACUAGGCAACCGCAACAGUUUCGGUAAACAACAACGUCCCACAUAGCACAGAUUUGUAGAAGGAAAAUAACUUAAUCUCUUGCUGUACAGAAUGCAAUACAGAUGCGCAGCUACCUUACAAGUGUGUAUGAGGAAGGAGAUGCGUGGUCAGCUCUGAUUGCCAUGGUUCAGUCUCCCCAACAUGGUAGCAAGGUUUCUUCUUCUUCUCCCUUCUCACUCCCACUGUUACCUGCAAAAAGUUUCAGAUACACCAUGGUUGCUUCCUCUCCUGACUGCUACAUCACAGAUCCGCACACUUUGCAAGGCCAAACUGGAGAAAGGCGCGCUCUGAUUUGGCCAGUACCCACGAGAACCCACGUAUAGGCCAGUCACAUUUGAUUAAAUUUUGCUUGGCUGUGCGCCUGAUCAAAAUUUAAGUGACGAAUCCUACUUUACAUUACACAAAGACACUUAAAUUUUCUCCCUGUUUACAAUAUGAAUAGAUGGACACCCAAUAUGAAUCAAACAGUGACGAAUCAUAUUGUAAACUCCGCAUAAGUCUGCAGGUUUUUUCUACUGUGGAUCUCCCACGCUUACAGAAGUAGUCACGGAUGUUGCAGUAGAAUUCACCUUCUGCUUCCUCCUCUUACCGGCUCUCGUCAGCGGCAGCAGGGGAGAGGCGGCUGUAGCGACGUAUCCCGGUCGGACCCGUGCGUGGAGGAGACUUGCUCGGAUACACGGCCUUGCCUGACACAGACUCCCCAUGAAUCGCCCUCCUUUUGCCACAUAAAUAGGCCUCGAGCCCUCUACGGAAGCAUCCAAUCUCGCGGUCUGCAAUCUCGCCGUUCUAUCAACUCCGCCGGACGCCGUGCUCCAUAUGCGGACAUGAUGCCGUCGUAAAAUCUCGCGGUUCUACCAACAUCGCCGGACCGCCCGUGCUCCAUCUGAGGUACGCCUGAUCUCUCGUGCCAAGCUAAAUUCGGUUCUGUCGUUUUGAAGAGCACAUGAUUUUUGCUGCGUGUCUGCACUCUGCAACCAUAGCUGCCAUCAUCAUCAUCAUCAUUACCUUGCCCGUAUACGGACAGUCUGCACUCUUUAGGCCUCAUACACACUAGAGAGUACUACUUCAUAGUGGCGGCUGGUAGUUCCAAUAUCUGGAGAAAGAACCAUGCUAUACGUACGACAAUUCACGUACGAGGAGCAGAUCAACCUGUAUAUCAGCUGGACUCUAAGUCCAGCAACGGCUGGAUGUUGCAUCGUACCAAAUCGGACAAGUCAUGUUCGUACGUGUAGUAGUUUCGCUGGAGAAAGAACCAUGCUAUACGUACGACAAUUCACGUACGAAUUAUAUCCGAUGGAGCAGAUCAACCCGUAUAUCAGUUGGACUCUAAGUCCAGCAACGGCUGGUCAUCGCUCUUUUGUAUAUUUUUAUUCUCUUUCCUUUACAGUAAAACAUACACCAUGCUCGCAUUGUUGCAUCUUGCAAUUAGUUCCAGAUUUGCUCGUGGGUGUCAUUCGAGGUCAGAGUAAUUAUUUAGGCAGUGUGCCAACUUUAGGCCCCCUCUGUUGAAAUCCAAAAAUCCAGUAGCUUAUGCAGCCUAUAAGUAGCUUCUAUUGAUUAGUAGCUGAUUUCUGUCAUAAUGAAUAGCUGGACACACCCACUAUUUACAUAUUAUUAUAAUUUCUCCCUGUUUGGUUGAACUCCAUGUUGAUUGCACCUUCGCACAAUAUAAAAUAUUAUUUUGGUUGUUAUUGCAGAAAAUGAAUGACAGCGCUGACUUGACCAUUGUUGUGGAUUUUGAUAACCGACCUUAAAAAAGCCAAAUUUUCUGAGUCGGAUGUUUUGGAGCCAUCACCUACGCCACCAACCAUCUCAACAUUAUCUUUUGGUUUUUGAAUGUUUUGAAUCGAUUACUCUGGUAUUAAAUAGAUGUUGAUCCAUUGCGAUGACCUCCGUUACCAACCAGAUCGACAUCACCUCCGGUUUCUGAAUGUAUGCAUGAAAGACAAGUUUAUUCGAUGAUGAUAAAGCAACCAGAGGAAUAUGAAGAAAUAAAAGUUGAUGAAACAUACAACUACUUCCCAAUAGGUAAUUGUUUAUGACGUGUACUUUUGUAUCUAGCGUCUUAAAUGCCUUUUUGUUAUUUAAUAUUAUUAUUUCUGUAUGUGCACGGUUAAUCCAUAUUUACACAUGGAUUUAUUCAAUAUUCUUUCAAAUUAUUUUACCUUUUGCAGAUUAUGCACUGACCAACCAUGAUGUAUGUGCUCAUAUAGCAAUGGAAACAUUUUUUGAAAAAACAAUUACUGGUGAAGAUAGAUGAAAUAUCUGUCAAAAAGCAUCGCUAGAUGAAAAAGGGGUGGCUAAACGAUGAUGUAAGUACCCUUACUUACAAGGAGAAGUCCAAUUAUUGAUAUCCACUAGUAAUGUCUUUUUCAAAAUCUUUUUACGUAAUCAACACAUAUGUAUGUUGUAUAGAGGACCAAGUACAUGUUCAAAAUGAUAGUAAAGUAUUUCAGAAUCCCUUUGUUACCGCACCGUUAAAAAGGGAGAUCAACCUUGGAAUACAUGAAGAUGGUACCUUUAUGAAAAAGAUUGUCAAAAACUUGUGAAGCAUGACAUGGUAACAUCCAUAUCCUUAAUUAAUAUGUUCUGGGUUUAAUACAUAUUUAUUAGUAAUUUUACUAAUAAUCUUGAAAAAGAUUGUCAAAAACUUAUGUGAAGCAUGACAUGGUAACAUCCAUAUCCUUAAUCAAUAUGUUCUGGGUUUAAUACAUAUUUAUUAAUAAUUUUACUAAUAAUCUUGAUUAUAGAAUGAAAACUUUCAAUAAAUAUGAACAACACACAUUGCUAUUUAACUGUUGUGAACGCGAAAAAUUGUGAGAUUAAAAUGCUAGACUCAUUGUGUUUCAGGUUAGACCGAGAUGAUCUCACUAUUACGGUUGGUUACUACAUCAUAAACUGAUCCUUCGCUUAUGUGUAUUAUUUCCGAUCACAUAUUUCAGCUACAAGGAUUACAAUAUCAAUUGGACAAUAUUAACUUGAUAAGCCACAAUUGGAAAGACUUCGAUGUUACUAAAUGGAAGAUUACAAAACAACUAUGGAAGCCAAUUCAAAAAGACAAGUAUAAAGCAACACAUAUGUUCUAUACUAUUAUAAGUAGUAUUGUGAUCUAUCUAGGGUACUCAUUUUUUUAAUUAUACAGUUCACCCCAUGGUCUAUUAUGCUUAAAUUCGUGCAAUAUUAGACCAGAUAUGCACUAUCUUAUCCGAUUACACAUGUAUAUAUCUCUUUUGUUUGAGAAAUAUAUAUAGUUGAUGAUAUGUUCAUUUUUAUGAUAUACUAAUAAUUGUUGGUGUUGCAUAGGAAAUUAUUAAUUCUUUUAGGUAUUAGUUAGCCAGCAUACUAUUAUGUUAAAAACAAACACCGUGGCAAUGACUACAAUGAUUGAACAAAGUGAUGAUGACAUUGAGGGAGAUCCUAAUGAAAUGUUGGAAAGUCCAUUUGAUAAAAUAAAAAUCAAAAGCAAUAAUCUCAUUAUCUAUGAAAAUAAAUACCAAUCACUAAUAUUUGUUCUUUCAAACACGAGCUUACAUGAGUUACUAGGUAAACUUUGUAGCUACAUCAAAUCAAUCGAUUCUAUAAAGAUUUUAUUGUAAGUUAUUUCAAAUUAGUGGUGCAAUUGACAACACACAUUAUCUUAUUUUCUUAUGAGUUUGGGACAAGGCAAAACCUUGAUUUUGUAGUCCCCAAGGUUUUGGACUUGCCCCAAACUCAUGAAAAAAAUAAGAUAAUGUUUAUGUUUGUUGUCUAUUGCACUACUAAUUUGAAAUGAAUCACUCUAAAAUAUCUAUAGAAUUGAUUGAUUUGAUGUAGCUACAAAGUCCACCUACUAACUCAUCUAAGCUCAUGUUAGAAAGAACAUAUAUUAGUGAUCUGUAUUUAUUUUCGACAAAUAAUGUGCUUAUUGCUUUUUAUGUUUUUGUAUGAUAUGGACUUUCCAACAUUUCAACAUCAUUAGGAUAUCCAUCAAUGUCAUCGCCAAUUUGUUCAAUCAUUGUAACCGUGGCUCCGGUGUUUGUUUUCCAACAUAAUAGUAUAUACUCGCUAACUUUAUACCUAAACGAAGUGAUAAUUUCCUAUGUAACACCAACAAUUAUUAGUAUAUUAUUGAACAAAUCAUAUAUGUUUAUCAAACAAAAGCGAUAUAUACAUGUAUAAUCGGACCGGAUAGUGCAUAUCCAGUCCAAUAUUCCAUGAAUUUAAGCAUUAGUAGACCACGAGAUGAACUGUAUAAUUAAAACAAAAUUAUUACACAUCAAUUAUUACGUAUAUUGGUAUAGAACACAUGUGAAGCUUUAUAUCAUAUCUUUUUGAAUUGGCUUUCGUAAUUGUUCUGUAAUAUUCUAUUUAGUAACAUCUAAGUCUUUCCAAUUAUGGCUAAUGAAGUUUUAACUUUCAAGCAUGUCCAAGUGAUAUUUUAGUUCUCAUAGCUGAAAAUUAAUUAAUGAUCAGAUUUAAUACACACAAGCGAAAUUUCAUAUAAUAAAGGAUAAUAAAUGAUGUAGUAACUAACCGUAAUAGUGAGAUCAUCUUAGUCAAACUCGUAACACAAUGAGUCGAGUACUUGAAUCUCACUCUUUUGCAUUCGCAACAGCUAAAUACCAAUGUGUGUUAUUCAUAUUUAUUGGAAGUUCAAUCUGUAAAAGACAAUCAGUUAAACUAUGAAUAACAAUGUAUGGAACACAAAACAUGAAAAUUAUGUAUAUGGAUGUUACCAUGUCAUGCUUCACAUAGUUUUUGACAAUCUUUGUCAUAAAGGUACCAUGUUCAUAUAUUUCAAGGUUGCCAUCCUGUUUUAACGGUCCGUUAACAAAAGGAUUCUCAAAAUAUACUUUACUAUCAUUCUGGACAUGCACUUGGUCUUUUAUACAAAGUUUGACCAAAUUUAUAUAUUGAAAAAAAUAUCAGCAUUGUCUACAAUGCUUAAGUUAUAUACCAAAAAGGCUUUCGCCCCGCUUUAUAAAUAAAGCAAACCGUCCAAGAGCACACAUACACGGACUAGUCCAAACACACACACCCAAGUCUCACAAGAGGAAGUACAAUAGGUUCUGCUGAGGGCACAGUUUAAGUUAUAUAGUAUGAAAUUUAAUUUCAUGAUGCAUCUAAUGAAAUUAAAUUUUAUCUAAUAAACAUAUGCAUUUUGUAACGUAAAUGUUGAUUUUUUUCCCUAUAAAGUUGUUCAAAAUUUCCAAAGUUUGACUUCAGACAAAUUUUAUAUGGAAACUAAAAGGAAACCGAAGGAGUACCAAUGAUGAUGAGAAUAAAUGAUGUUUAUUUUUUUAAAUAGAACCUAGCGGAGAGCCUGUCCGGCCGCAGAUCACCAUGUUAGGUUGAUCUCUCUCCCGUUCGAACCCAACGGGUCGAACGGGCCCUUGACUCGCGCCCUGAUCGGGGGCGUCCAACCAAACCAUGGUUGGUGGGCCCUGUGACCCGCGCUAUAUAAACAGAGGUGGGGGCCGGGGCACGACUUACGAGGUUAAUCGCUGCCACAAUCCCCACCUACAAUCCCUACCGAUCUAGGGUUAGCGCGGUGCUCACGGGAAGUUCCACCACCUCGCCCACUCUCCGCCAUCGCCGUGCGCCCCAGCACCACGAUGGCCUCCGGCUCAAGUUCAUCCACUGCCGGACAAGGUAGGUUCACCGGAUCUACUAGCCUACUCCGAUCCAAAGAAUCUAUCAAUGGUAUCAGCCAGAUCGGGCUAGUUGAUUUCGGUACAAAGAAACAAACACAGAAAAAGUCUCUGAAAAUGCAAAAAGAAUUUUUUUAGAAAAUAAAUGUUCAUGAAUUUUAUAAAGAAAAUUAAUAAAGUUCAUGAUUUUAUAUUCGGUCAUAGAAAAGUUUCUGUAAAAAGUAAAAAGUUCGUGAAUUUUUAUUCAUGUUUUUCCGCUGCGUAAAUAAUUAAUGCUCUUUUACAAAGAAAAUAAAAGUUUACAUAGUAUUAAGUUUUUAAGAGCAUGUUAAAGUGAUUAUUAAAAUGAAUAUGAUUAUGUUAUUUUUAUGACCAACGUUGUUAAUAACAUGAUCAUGUUUUAUUAUUGAAAUUUAAAGGUGCAUUUAUUUCUAAUUUUUGCCCAAUGGUAAUAUAGAUUUAAUUGCAUAGACAAUUAUAUGUUUAAUUUGACCAACGUUAGAUUAAUGCAUAUUAUUGUUAUAUUGAUGUCACUUAAAUUGUGAUUUCAGGAGGCUUUCACUUGAUGAGUUGCCUAAAAGAAGUUCCGACACUCAGAGGUGACAACCACACUGAGUGGAGGAAGAAAGUUGAACUGGCGUUUGUUUGUGCUGAUCUUGACUGGGUUGUGGAGAAACCACAGCCGGUCAGACCCACAGAGCCAGUAAGAGAGGCCACUGAUGAUGAUGCUGCAUGGGCUAAAAAGAAAGGGGACUAUGCUCCUUUGGAGCAGUCCUACCUCAUAGAUAAUCAAAAGUGGGUCAAUGCAAAUAAAAAAUGCAUGGCCUUUAUAAAGAACACCAUUGAGAGCGCCAUUGUGGGCUCCAUUGCAGAGUGCACUUCCGCAGGGGAGUUGCUCUCAAAGAUAAAGAACCAGUUCACUGGCUCUUCAAAGAUAUAUGCCACCCAGGUGUUAGAGCAACUGGUGACAGAAAAAUACACAGGUGGUAGUCAUGGCAUAAGAGAGCACAUCCUCAGGAUGAGCAAUAUGGCAGCAAAGCUUAAGCCCAUGGAUGCGGAUCUGGAGAUCAAACCAGCGCUCCUGGUCCACCUUGUCAUGGCUUCACUACCCAAGGAGUUUGAAGCUUUUGUUGUGAACUAUAAUAUGUCACCUGGAACAUGGGACGUUGAAAAGACAAUAGCAAUGUGUGUUCAAGAAGAGGAGAGACUCAAAGCCUCACAUGGUGGUACACUCAACUAUGUGCAGGGUCACAAAAGAAAGAAUUACAAUCAAAACAACAAAAGUUCUCCUUCAAAGCCACAAGGAAAAGUUACCUAUCAGCAUCAGCGUCAGCAACAGCCUUUCUCAGUGGACAAAGACACUUGUCUCCACUGUAAGAAGACCGGGCAUUACAAGAAAGACUGUCCUGUUUGGCUAAAGUCGAUCAUGGCAAAAAGAGGUAACAAUAUAGUUUCAUUUGUAAAUGAAUCCCUGUAUGCACAGUUUUCAAAAUCCACUUGGUGGAUUGACUCAGGAGCAACUGUUCAUGUUGCAAAUUCUUUACAGGGAUUCCAUUCGACGCGGACUACACUAAAAAGCGAAAGACGCAUUGAAGUGGCGAACGGAGUUGAAGCAGAAGUUGAAGCUGUCGGUGAUAUCUCCUUGGAGUUAGCUGAUGGAUUCAAUCUUCUACUUAGAGAUGUUUUAUUUGUUCCAUCAUGUCAUAGAAACUUAAUAAGUGUUUCUUGCUUGGACAAAGAUAAUUAUGAGUGUUAUUUUGGACAUGGCAAGUGUGCCAUUUGGUUAAAUAAUGCUUAUGUGGGUGAUGCUUUACUACAUGAUGAGCUUUAUUUGUUAUCACUUCGUGAAAAAGUUUAUUCCGUUUGCAAUGUGAAAGAACAUGUUUUUGCGUCGAAUAAAGAACAAAAGAAAAGAAAAAGAACAUUUGACUCAUCGAAAUUAUGGCACUGUCGCUUGGGCCAUAUUUCGAAGGGGAGAAUAGAAAGAUUAGUCAAAAGUGAAAUUCUUCCUCCGUUAGAAUUUUCAGACUUAGAACAAUGCAUAGAUUGCAUUAAAGGAAAGUACGUAAAACAAAUCAAAAAAGGUGCAAUCCAUAGCACAGGCACACUAGAAAUCAUUCACACUGAUAUUUGUGGACCAUUUCCGGUGAAAAGUGUGGAUGGAUAUGACUCGUUCAUAACAUUCACAGAUGAUUACUCUCGCUAUGGUUAUAUUUAUCCAAUCAAAGAAAGAUCGGAAGCGUUGGAUAAAUUUAAAAUAUUCAAAGCUGAAGUUGAAAAUCAGCACGAUAAAAUAAUAAAGAUAGUAAGGUCCGACCGUGGGGGAGAGUACUACGGUCGACACACUCCAUAUGGCCAAGUCCCUGGACCUUUUGCGAAGUUCUUGCAGGAGACUGGCAUAGUAGCCCAGUAUUCAAUGCCGGGCGAGCCUCAGCAAAAUGGAGUAGCUGAAAGGCGCAACCGUACCCUUAUGGAUAUGGUGCGCAGCAUGAUGAGUUAUUCCAACUUGCCAUUGGGAUUAUGGAUGGAGGCGCUUAAAACCGCCAUUCACAUUCUCAAUAGAGUACCAAGAAAGUCGGUGCCCAAAACACCGUACGAGCUAUGGACAGGAAGGAUGCCCUCCCUACAACACUUCAGGGUGUGGGGGUGCCCUGCUGAGGCCAAAAUGUUUAAUCCAAACAUUGCAAAGUUAGAUCCCAAAACAUUAAGUUGCCACUUCAUUGGCUAUCCAGACAGAUCAAAAGGUUUUCGUUUCUACUGCCCUGACAGAUAUACAAAGUUUGUAGAAACGAGGCAUGCAGUCUUCUUAGAGGACGAAAUGAUGAGGGGGAGCUUGGUAGCUCGGAAAAUUGAUCUUGAGGAGAAGAGGGUGCAUGCACCUAAUCCGAUGAUUCAGGAGCCAUUUUUCUCACUACCAGUUGCAACUCCACCCAUGACAGCUAUGGGGGAAGACCCGAAACCUGUCCGUCAGGAGCCGACUGAACCCGUUGUUGAGCAUGAAAGGGAGGUGCAAUAGCAAAUUUUAGAAGAAGUGCUAGAAGUUGAGGCACAAAAUGUGCCAGAAACUGAGGCCCUUAGAAGGUCUACAAGACCAAGGAAGUCAGCUAUUUCUACCGACUUUAAAGUUUAUAACAGAGAAAUGGUUCAUAUGGAAAAAGAUCCCACCUCAUAUGAAGAAGCCAUGAGAAGCCCUCAUUCAUCGAAGUGGAUGAAGGCAAUGGAAGACGAGAUGAAAUCGAUGAGUUCCAAAGAUGUUUGGGACUUAGAGGAAAUUCCCAAAGGAGCCAAAACAGUAGGCUAUAAAUGGGUCUACAAAAUUAAGUAUGACUCUAAAGGGAAUAUAGAAAAGUAUAAAGCACGACUCGUGGCAAAAGGAUUUACACAAAGAGAAGGGAUAGAUUACAAUGAGACAUUUUCUCCAGUCUCAUGUAAGGAUUCCUUCAGAAUCAUAAUGGCAUUAGUUGCUCAUUUUGAUUUAGAGUUACAUCAAAUGGAUGUUAAGACGACAUUUCUGAAUGGUGAUUUAAAAGAAAAGGUCUACAUGAAACAACCCAAGGGUUUUAUCAUGGAAGGCAAGGAAAAUAUGGGAUGCCGCCUAAAGAAAUCCAUUUACGGAUUAAGACAAGCCUCUCGGCAGUGGUAUCUAAAGUUUAAUCAAACGAUUAAAAGUUUUGGAUUUAAAGAAAAUAUUGAGGAUAAUUGCAUUUAUGCAAUGUUUAAAAAUGGGAAAUAUAUUUUCCUAAUCUUGUAUGUGGAUGAUAUCCUGCUUGCUAGUAGUGAUGUUAGUCUACUACAAGAAACAAAGAAAUACUUAUCCUCAAAUUUUGACAUAACAGAUCUUGGUGAAGCAUCAUAUGUUUUGGGCAUAGAAAUUCACCGAGAUAGGAACAAUGGAGUCUUAGGACUAUCUCAACAAGCAUAUUUAGAAAAGGUUCUUAAAAAGUAUAAUAUGCAUGCGAGUAAAGCCACACCUGCUCCAAUAGUCAAGGGCGAUAGUUUUGGGAAAUUCCAAUGUCCCAAGAACCAGUAUGAGAUCGAUCAAAUGAAAGCAGUACCAUAUGCUUCGGCAGUUGGCAGCUUACAGUAUGCACAAGUGUGAACUCGCCCUGACUUAGCUUUUAUCACCGGGGUACUCGGUAGAUAUCAAGAGAAUCCAGGCCUAGAGCACUGGAAGAUGGUAAAGAAAGCAUUGCGUUAUGCGCAAGGCACGAAGGACUACAUGCUAAUAUACAGGAGAAGUGAUUCCCUAGAGAUAAAAGGGUAUUCAGACGCAGAUUUUGCGGGGGACAUAGAUGAUAGAAAAUCCACGUCAGGAUACAUAUUCACCCUCGCUGGGGGAGCUAUUUCGUGGAAAAGCUCCAAACAGUCGAUAGUUGCAUCAUCUACGAUGUAUGCAGAAUUCGUAGCAUGCUUCGAAGCCACGGGGCAGGCGAUAUGGCUAAAGAAAUUUGUACCCGACUUGAAAGUGGUAGAUUGUAUUCACAAACCACUAAAGAUGUACUGCGACAACCAGCCCGCGGUAUUUUACGCUCACAACAACAAGUCGAGUAAUGCUGCCAAAACAAUAGAGAUAAGGUAUUAUGUUGUGAAAGAUAAAAUCCAGGAUCAAACUAUAAGUCUCGAGCAUAUAAGGACAAAGGAUAUGCUUGCGGAUCCGCUAACGAAAGGCUUACCACCCAAUGUGUUCAAGGAACACUUAGCCGGCAUGGGUUUAAGGGAAAGCCUUAUGAUUCCUGGAUAGGCCCAAAAGGAACAGAAUUUGUUUCUGAACAUAACGUAUGUUGUAGCUGUAUGAUUCUAACGGCAAUUAAGUCGUGACGAUGAAACAUGCUCUAUGUACCAAUAUGUGAUGAAACAAAUAAACUAGAAAGUAUAAAGUUAAAAGUAAAGUUGAGAUCAAGGGGGAGAAUGUUAGGUUGAUCUCUCUCCCGUUCGAACCCAACGGGUCGAACGGGCCCUUGACUCGCGCCCUGAUCGGGGGCGCCCAACCAAACCAUGGUUGGUGGGCCCCUGUGACCCGCGCUAUAUAAACAGAGGUGGGGGCCGGGGCACGACUUACGAGGUUAAUCGCUGCCACAAUCCCCACCUACAAUCCCUACCGAUCUAGGGUUAGCGCGGUGCUCACGGGAAGUUCCACCACCUCGCCCACUCUCCGCCAUCGCCGUGCGCCCCAGCACCACGAUGGCCUCCGGCUCGAGUUCAUCUACUGCCGGACAAGGUAGGUUCACCGGAUCUACUAGCCUACUCCGAUCCAAAGAAUCUAUCACACCAGAGUGUAUCUUCGUGAACGCCCGCCCCAAGUUGGAGUGAUGUGUUCUUCACAUCCUUCAACGCGGUCGCCAUGGACGAGAAGUCGAGACCCUUCCGCGCGGCCGGUAUGGACCAGGGGUGGUUCUACCCGGAUGCCGCGCGGCCGCCGCCGACGAAGUCCUUCGUCGCGGCCGCCAUGGACACGAGGGCACCAGGAGGCAGGAGUUACGUAUCUGAUCUUUUUUUUCCUUGCAGCUGUUAUACGUAUCUGAUCGUGGAGCAAUGGAAACGUAAAAUGAAGGAGCGGGAUUGAGCAGCUGGGAUCGGAAACAGAGCGGCAGUGGGGUUGCGUGCUUUAAGAUUGGAGUUGGGAUGGACCCGAUCUCAGAAUUUAUUUUCCCAUCUUCUCCGCCUCCGCCUCCUCCUCCUCCGCUGCCUCCACCUCCGCCGAUGGCAGCCGCCACUCCAAGCAAAAGCAGCAAGGAGGUCAUGGCCUUCAACUAUCCCAGAUGCUCAUGCUGAUCCCGCGCUCUGUUAUCAGGGCUACGUUCAACUACGACCUCAGCGCUAUCGGCAAGAUUUUGAUGGCUAACGAUGGUCGUUCGGCCGCGGAACCAAUGGACUACGUAAGGAAGGUGCGCUCAAUUGCUUCUCGUGCCUCUUUAGCUUCUUUUCCUUUCCGAUUUUGAGCUUUCGUUCAACAGAUGUGCGUAUUUUGGAUCGGCUGAAAAUAGUUCAUAGAUCCCAUGAUCGGAGAUAUGUACGAGCUCUUUUAUGAUACCCUGUGUUACAUAUGGGCCGUCAAAUCGUAACAGUGAACGGUUGGGUAUAGCAUGCAUGCGCAGGUUUCUGUCGUGUCGAACUAGCCCACCCCGUCCUUGCCCUCCCAUUACCUUCCCCACCGCGUUCAGUAGGGAAAAAAACUAGGGUUCCGGCCAUGGCCGGCGUGCGCCUGCCAUCUAUGGUGGAUCAGGAGGCUGCCGAGCUAGGCCCCUCUUCCACUCCACCUACGCUGCGCUGCCCUCCCUCCUCUUCCUCCAUGCACGAGGCGCUCGAGGAGGACCCGACGCCACUGAUCCCUAGGGACGCUGUCGUGCUCCGGGACCGGCCGACGCUCACCCGCCAGUGCCCUCACCACGUCUUCUCCACGGAGGUCCCUGCCUGCGCCCUAGGCCGGAGCUGUGCGCCGACCUCCACUCCGGCAGCACGCGUCGCUUGAACCCGGCUUGGCCGCAUCACCGAUUUAAAGCAGCGCUUCUCGCUCACCGGGAACUAGACCGUCGCCGCCAGCCCCGGCGAGGACAGCUGGGCUGGCUAGGUGCAGGGCCUCGGAACCGACGUCUACUGCUCGUCUGCUACAGAGGCUGGUCAUGCUGGGCAGGCGAGGCCAUGGCGGCUGGCCGCCCUGCCCACUCUCUAGGAUUCCAGCCGCUGCCGACAUGCAAGGCAUCUUGAUUUUCCAUGUCAGUAUGUUUGUGACUUGUGUAUUGGCUCAAAGUUAAAUGACUACGAUUUUGAGAACUAGCAGAGCAUUGUUGAAAUAGAAAAUUACUCUCUCUGAUUGUUGUUCUAUAUGAGAAUUUCAUGCUUCUUAUAUGCUUGAGCCAAUUUGGUAGAUGUAAAAUUAGGUAAAUGGAAAGUUUGAUACAGUGAGUACAUUGCGAUUAAGUGUUUGUGCUUUUGUUUGACUUACAGUAUCUAAGAAGAAAGUAAAUAGGUAUUCACUGUAAUGUUCCAUUUGCCUCCGAAAUUCAAGACUUCAUGGCACACUUUUGCUACAGGAUGUGUAGGAUAAGGUAAAUGUUUUUUUUUUCUUUUUUUUGCUAUCUUGUGUUUCUUCCUAUAUGAUGAAAAUCUCUGCUUGGAGGGGAAAUGGUCAGUUGCCACUUUGAACCAUCUCAACUUGGAGGAUUGUAGAUUAUUAUGGGAGAUUGCCUAAAUUUGUCUCUGGACUACUGUAUUAUAGCAGGAUGCACAUGACCCUGAUAGAUUCAUACUAGACGUUAAUUACACAUUUAAUACAUAAACUUUCACUAGACGUACAGAUUCAUACAUAAACUUAAAAAUUGACACGAAUCGGCCAUACAACUUGUGUUUCGGGUAUGUUUGUUUGAGUGCAUUCCUUCAUUUGAGAAAAAGGGUUUCCCCCGCUUUGUAUUCCAAAGCACCGUCGGCACGCGGGAGGGCACAACCUCCACCGUCAACGACGGUAACCGACCGGACACACUAGCAGGAGCCUACCAGGCCCAUGUGCCCACAGGCCCGGCCGGGAACUCCAUUCCCGGAAAGCUCCUGCCAUCGCGCUGCAGCAGGCACGCCAUCGACAUCGCCGCCCCCCAUCCGAGCCGCUCCUCCUCCUCACCACACAGACGACGACGAAGCCACGCCAGGGACAGGCCCGCUAGGACCCAGAUGGGGCCGGGAGGGCCCAGAUCUGGGCCGGGGACGCGCCGCCGGCCACCGCACGCCACCACGCCGCCCUGCUGCCAAUGGCAGCACCGCCACCGCGCCUACCGCCGGCGACCGCUGCCGGGUCGCCGGGCCGCCGCCCAGCUGAGCAUCACCGCCNNNNNNNNNNNNNNNNNNNNNNNNNNNNNNNNNNNNNNNNNNNNNNNNNNNNNNNNNNNNNNNNNNNNNNNNNNNNNNNNNNNNNNNNNNNNNNNNNNNNNNNNNNNNNNNNNNNNNNNNNNNNNNNNNNNNNNNNNNNNNNNNNNNNNNNNNNNNNNNNNNNNNNNNNNNNNNNNNNNNNNNNNNNNNNNNNNNNNNNNNNNNNNNNNNNNNNNNNNNNNNNNNNNNNNNNNNNNNNNNNNNNNNNNNNNNNNNNNNNNNNNNNNNNNNNNNNNNNNNNNNNNNNNNNNNNNNNNNNNNNNNNNNNNNNNNNNNNNNNNNNNNNNNNNNNNNNNNNNNNNNNNNNNNNNNNNNNNNNNNNNNNNNNNNNNNNNNNNNNNNNNNNNNNNNNNNNNNNNNNNNNNNNNNNNNNNNNNNNNNNNNNNNNNNNNNNNNNNNNNNNNNNNNNNNNNNNNNNNNNNNNNNNNNNNNNNNNNNNNNNNNNNNNNNNNNNNNNNNNNNNNNNNNNNNNNNNNNNNNNNNNNNNNNNNNNNNNNNNNNNNNNNNNNNNNNNNNNNNNNNNNNNNNNNNNNNNNNNNNNNNNNNNNNNNNNNNNNNNNNNNNNNNNNNNNGGCGCGCGAGCCGGCGGCCGGCGGCGGCGGCGGAACCCUAGCGGGAGGGAGCGGACGGGAGCCUGCAUUCCUUCAUUUGCCGUUAACUCUCCGUUAAACUUUACACGCCGGCUGGUCGACGCUCCAUGUCUGCAUGUGGGUCUCACCUGUCUGUGGCAAAGGAAGAAAAUACAAACAUAAAAGUACAGUGCACUUAGACGGAACCGAAGUAAUGCCGUCCAGGCGCAAGCAACUGCAUUAAUACAAAGUUCCAUAAAACAUAUUCUAUAAUUUACAUAUUUUGUUAGGAAAAUUGAUUUGAAUGCUUUGCACGGCGUUUAUUUUUUCCUGGUUUACCGGAAGUUUUGGUGAGCCCCAAAUGUUCUUGUAUCGUUCAUAAAAACAUUUGUUAAAAAUUUGAAAGGUCAUAUAUUGUCAAACUGAGCUCGUAUGCCUGCAUUUUCACAUAACAACUAUCGUCUAGUGUUACGGCACGCGAACUAUCACCUCGAUUAUCCACAUUGAUUCCCCUGUUUUCAAAAACUGAACAUUUUUUUAUGCGUUAUGCAAUGCUUAUAGAAAAUAGAGGAGGUGCCUUAGGGAUGCCUCAAACUCGCACCCUUCAUGUAAAAACUAGGCGAGCUGGCCGCUAUAAAAGGCAAAAAGUUUGUUAUAUAUGGUGUUUAGCAUGUUAUAAAACUCACAUAUUUUCCUAAAAGAGUAUUAGUACCACCUGGUUAAAAUAAACUCCUAAAAUACAGAGGCAUAAAUUCCCCAUCUUCCUUCUUUUUCCAAGCGGCAAGCUGCAAUUUAAUUGCUGAAAUUAACUCGUAGAUUCCUCUUAUGUUCUCUCUUUGCAAUUUUGCAAAGCAUAGUUUUCAGCUGCUCCACCAUGCAAUUACACAUGUAUUCGUUUUAAUUGAUUAUCAUAAUAAACACAAAAUAAAUUUUAAAACUUUCUAAAUUUCAAUCACAACUUAAAAAAUAUGAGCGUAAAUUUUAAACUAAUCUUAAUCCAAAUUUUAUUCUAGAAAAACUAGCAAAUUCUGACAACUUUCAACUCUCUUCAUCCUUCAUUUGUGACUUUGAUUAUCUUCUAGUCCUCGUCGUUUUGCCAUCCUUUCAUGUUCAGUGGAGAUUCCACUAGGAGGACAGUGAGUUGUUUCCUGAACCCGGGGAUGUCGUCCUGCGUAAUAGGUUGACUUGGUCUCACAGUUGACAAUGUGAAUGGUGUGGUUAAAAUAAGUGUGGACAUCGUAAUGCUGUGUAGGCUCCAUCUAGGUUGUCACAUGUGAACUUUUCCAUGUUCUUUACCGAAAAAGCUCACAUGACAUAUUGCAAUCAUAUGGAUUCUUAUAAAUAUUUUUACUAAGAAUACUAAAUUUGUGGUUUUAAAUGUUGUGUACAGUACCUAUCUUUUUGUUGUGUUAUAUUUUGAUAACUUGAACUGUCCAAGUAUUGAUGCCGAAAUCCGGCCAAGUAUCGACUUUUCGGCAACCAUGCCGAUAUGCUACUUCCAUAUGGAGUUGCAUGAGCUGUAAUAAGUUAAGAAGUAUAAGACAUAUAAUAUGAAAAUUAACUCUCGGUAUGUAUGUACUAAGCAUUGAAAAAACUUAUCAUGUUUUCUAGUUCCGGGUGGGCUUUCUUAAACUGUUUUGUUGUUGAUGGCAUCAAAUAUACAACUUGCACUGCCCUUUUUUUGGCAUUGACAAUCGCCAUGUACCUAUGCAUUUCUUCAUAUUCAUAGGAAGAGAAACCUGCAUUUAAGACAUAAUUAGUUUUGUACCAUUUAGAAAUUGACUUAGACUAGUGUGACUUACCAUAUCAUGGGAAAGGUACUUUUCGCCAUGAAUACUACCAUAUGUUUUGUUCUGUAGAUCACGGGUACAAUUUGGAAAGCUUCCUUCUCUGACUAGCACACCACUAACUGAUGCUCUCUCUAGAUAGAUCAUCCCGUCGGCCCGACAUCUGGAUUGGGGCGCAUGUGACGUACCCAUGUUAUGGCCGCAUCCAAGAUUUGAAUCGCAAAGCAGUAAGGAAUCAAAAUAGAAAAUAACAAUUUGUUAAUUAUUUAAGAAGUUAGCACAUAUCUUGCAUUACAGUCAUCCGUUCGUACUACUUUUAAAGCGUGGAGCUGUCAAGCAUCUAAGAUCAGCGCGAUAGAGAUGAAUUUCAUCCAUUUCUACCAACACUUUUGAAGACGGGGAUGUAUUGACAUAGUCAAUGACCUCUUCAACUAUCUUCUCAUCUGGAGCAUCAUCCGUUCCCAUUCUGGGAGUACUCACGUCUUUUGGAGUUAUCUUGCCUCAUUUAGUUCUCUUGGUUCAUCAAAAUAAACAUAAUCCUUGUUAUCUGUAAAAGUGGAUUUCCUUUUUCUCUUCUUCUCUCCCGUCACCGUAGACCCUCCUGUUGCCUGCGUGUCCGAGGGAGGAGUUUUUUUAAUAGUGACUCACAUAAUUAAUGUACUUACUUGAGCACCCUGCAAGUCAUAGGGAGGAGCUUGUAAAAUGAGAAAAAUAAAUCACAUGAUUAACAUAGUUACUAAAUUACAUCAAAGUCUGAGGCCAGGUGACGCCCACGAAGGGGCGAGGUAACAAAUUUGUCGCUGUUGUUGUACUCAUAUUCUGGUCGGCUCCAAUAGUCCUGCAUAGGUGUCUGGUUGUUAUUACUUUAUAUAUAGGAAGGAAAGAGUGAUUAAGUGCGUGUUUGGAUGGUAGGGUACUUACAUUGGCGUUCAGGUUGGCGUAUAGCCAGUUUCGUCAUAUCUGCAUUUUCAUUCUCUAGGUACCUGAAUUUAUGCGCGCAACAUUUUCCUUCUCUAGGUGUACAGAUUCGCGUACAAAUGUUGCGCAAAUUCAGGCACCUAGAGAAGGAAAAUGCAAAUACGAGGAAACUGGCUAUACGCCAACCUGAACGCCAAUGUAAGUACCCUAUCAUCCAAACACGCACUUAAUCACUCUUUCCUUCCUAUGUAUAAAAUAAUGACAACCAGGCACCUACUAUUGGAGCUGACCAAAAUAUGAGCACAACAACACUGACAAAUUUGUUACCUCGCCACUUCAUGGGCGUGACUUGACCUCAUACGUUGAUCUAAUAUAGUAACUAUGUUAAUUACGUGAGUUAUUUUUCUCAUUUUACAAGCUCCUCUCUACGACUUGCAGGCUGCUCCGGAUGACACCACUAGUGAGCAAAAGGAGUUUGACAAAGACGAUGCCCGAAAAUUAGAUGUAACUAAGUACAUUAAUUAUGUGAGUCACUAGUUCAAAAACAACUCCUCCCUCGGACACGCAGACAACAUGAGGGUAUACAGCGGGACAGAAGAAGAGAAAAAGGAAAUCCACUUUUGCAAAGAAUAAGGAUUUUGUUUAUUUUGAUGAACCCAACAGAACUAAAUGAGGCAAGAUAACUCGAAAAGACGUGAGUACUCCCAGAACGGGAAUGAAUGAUGCUCCAGAUGAGAAGAUAAUUAAAGAGGUCAUUGACUAUGUCAAUACAUCCCUGUCAUCGAAAGUGUUGGUAGAAAUUGAUGAAAUUCAUCUCUAUCGCGCUGAUAUUUAGAUGCUUGACAGCUCCAAACUUUAAAAGUAGUACCGAAGGAUGGCUGCAAUGCAAGGUAUGUGCUAACUUCUUAAAUAAUUAAAACAAAUUAUUUUCUAUUUAGAUUCCUUACUGCUUUGCAAUUUUGAUCUUGGAUGCACCCAUAACAUGGGUAUGUCACAUGCGCCCCAAUCCAGAUGUACAGGCCAACGGGAAGAUCUACCUAGAGAGAGCAUCACUUAGUGGUGUGCUAGUCAAAGAAGGAAGCGUUCCAACUUGUACCCGUGAUCUACAGAACAAAAUAUAUGCUAGUAUUCAUGGCGAAAAGUAUCUUUCCCAAGAUAUGGUAAGUCACACUAGUCUAAGUCAAUUUCUAAAUGGUACAAAACUAAUUGUGUCUAAAAUGCAGGUUUCUCUUCCUGUGAAUAUGAAGAAUAUGCAUUGAUGCGUGGCGGUUGUCAAUGCCAAAAAAGGGCAGUGCAAGUUCUGGAUUCAAUGCCAUUAACAACAAUACAGUUUAAGAAAGCUCAUCCGGAACUAGAAAACAUGGUACCUUUUUAUGCUUAGUACAUACAUACAGAGAGUUAAUAUUCCGGAAAUUCGAUAUGGCUCAUAUGAAUGCGGCAAUAGAGGUCUGGUCCUGGACGGCAUAGGAAGCAUUUUCUCCACCACAAGAUGAUUAGCAGUUGGACGUCCAUCACUCAAUUAAUAGAUGAUGUAACAAGUCGUUUCUUACAAGCCAACGCUCUCAUUUGCACGUCAUCACUUGCUGCUUUGGACUGUGUAGUAAUGACCGAGGCCCUGAAUCGGAAAAUUAAUUACCAAAGAAAUUUGGAGGUCUGAACAGUAAACACAAACUGCCGUGGCUGGAAACCUAGACACUUGUUCUCAGUUAAAGGAAUUUUUUCCUUUGUCCUUUUCUGCUUAUGAAGAAAUGUAGCAGUUUUAGCAACUUUUAGCCUUUUGCAAAUGAACUUUCGAAGUACUAAAUAAUAAAUAGGUAAGCCCUUUGCAGUUUUCAGUGUUAUACAUUCAUGUUUUCUUUUACUAGGAAGUGAGGUUCUAUUGAUGCUGGUGUUCUUUGUUUUUUAAUUAUGUGGUUGAUGCACUGAUGUAAUCUGUCUGAAUUUUGAAAUUUGUUUAUUAUUAUUAUAAAAACUGUACUGCACGUCUGCCCCAGUGUAAGACUCAAUAAAACAAAUAAUGGAGGAUACAACUCCUCAACAUUAAACCAGGUUAGGACAUGAAACAUCAUCCCUGAUACUAACUCAAAUUGCACGCUGGAAGUACUGCACUGUACUAGCAUUCAUAGUUCAUGGUGUACAAUACAUUUAAUAAAUAAUUCGCUGCUUCUGUCGGAACGCCGUUUCCGGAAGGUGGGCCUGCCACGCCCUGCCGCGCGGCUGUACAUACGGCAUGCAUACAGUUGCCACCUGAUAUACGGCAAUUUCCGCCGGUCGCACAUUUUUCAUUCAAUGCGCUUCCCACCCAGCGGUCCAGAUAAUAAUACCAUAUGCAAGUAUGACCCAUAUCUUCGCCCUUAAUAUUCAAAUUAUAUGUCUUAUACUUCUUAAUUAUUAUAGCUCAAAGGCAUGCAACUCCAUAUGGAAGUAGCUAAUCGGCAUGGUUGCCGAAAAGUCGAUACUUGGCAGGAUUUUGACAUCAACACUUGGACAGUUCAAGUUAUCAAAAGUAUAUCACAACAAAAAGAUGGGUACUGUACUGUAUACAACAUUUAAAACCACACAUUCAGUAUUCGUAGUAAAAAUAUUUACAACAAUCCAUAUGAUUGCAGCAUGUCAUGUGGGCUUUUUUGGCUAAAGAACAAGGAAAAGUUUACAGUUUCCAAUCUAGAUGGAACCUACACAGGAGUAAAUAGCAAAAAACUACCACAUUACGGGCUACGGCUAAGAAAAACUACCACUUUUUUUAUUUUUUAAAAAUGCUAUCACUAUUUUGGUUGGCUGUUCUAAAAAACACUAGUGAUAUAUAGUUAGUAUUUAAUCAUGUUUAUGACAGCUGGCCCCACCUAUAAACAGUAACCACUAACACUGUGAGCGUUGACUGUUAGAUUGGACCAGAGGAGGCCCACCUGCCAGCAUAUUUAUAUGUAUCUAACUAAAAAAAUACCAGCUGCCCACCUCGCGCCAGGCCGGCGAGCUGGAGCUUCGCCGCACGCCCGCAGUGCCACACCCCCCAGCUCUCCCUUCCUUGGCACCCCGCUCACCUGAGCACACCUGUGACGUGCCUGCUGCAGCGGUCAUCUUCGUCGCGGAGCCGCACCUCUCCUCUGUCCCGCGCGCAUGGCGUUGGCGGCCAUGCUCGGCCCUGUCCCGCUCCUGGAACUCUUCGAUGCGUGUCUUGAAGGUUGCCGCCAAGGUUAAACGACGAGCCCCAUGGGAAGAGACGCGGCUGUGCAUCUCCAACGCCCUAGCCGUGGCCUCCGCCCUCUUGGCGGCCAUGCUCGGCCCUGCACCGCGGCCUCGGCCCUUUCUCUAUAUUUUUCUCCACCGAGGCCAAAACCUGUCCCGCUCCUGGAACUCUUCGAUGCGUCGUUGCUUCGGCGGAGCUUGUCUCUAUAUUUUUCUCCUCUGUCCCGCGCGCAUGGCCGUCGUUUGUCGUUGAUGUGGCUGGAGACAACCACGAGCUUCAGCAUCAUGUGCAUCCGCCUCGCCCUGUCUCCCUCUCACUCCUGCUCCAUUAACUGAACAAGGGACACGCCAUAGCCGUCGGCAGCGACCUUGUUCUCCAACCUCGGUCAUGGCGCACCACCAUCAAAUUAGCCACCGGCAGACUCCUUCGGUCCUCAUCCUAGACACCAUCUGGUCCGCAGCGUCAACGCCGACCUCCUGGACAUCCCAGCGUCAAGCUCCGCCUCCUCCUGCGCCCUCGCCGACAAGCUCCGAGCCCCGGUGGUCGUCGUUGUUUCUCAACUCGCCGUUCCAUGCUAACUCGCCUUGUCCGAGCACGCGCACCGGCUUGUGGUGUGUCUUCUCUGGUCCGCUCGCAACCCGUAGCGCUGCAGCCUUCAAGCACAUCACGGCGUCUGCAGCAGGAGGCCGACGCCGAGCCCCUCAAGGUGCCAGCACGCACGGGCACCGGAAGCCCGGGUCCGAGCUCGCGGGCACGCUGCCCGCCGCCGCCCUUGCCCCAGUUGGCCGUUGCCGAGAGGAAGCCGUCAGCCUUCCAUGGAUCACGAUUCAUGAGAGCCGCCGGGGAGGAGACGGGCGCCGCGACCCAGAUCCCGUGUCGUGCUGACUUAACGGCUUGACUAGUGGAGAUGACUUUUUUUUUGCCACGUGGCACUGAUGUGUGGGACCUCCCUGUCAUAAUUAUGAUUAAAUUUUAACUAUACAGUCACUAGUGUGUUUUGGAACAGCCAACCAAAAUAGUGGUAGCAUUUUGAAAAAUUAAAAAAAAUGGUAGUUUUUCGUAACCAUAGCCCGUAAUGUGGUAGUUUUUUGCUAUUUACUCCCUACACAGCAGUACAAUGUCCACACUUAUUUUAACCACACCAUUCUCAUUGUUACAGUUGUGAGACUAAAUCAACCUAUUAUGCAGGACAACAUCCCUGGGUUCAGGAAACAACUCACUGCCCUCCUAGUGGAGUCUCCACUGAACAUGAAAAGGACGGCGAAACGAUGAGGACUAGAAGAGAGUCAAAGUCAUGAAUGAAGGAUGAAGAGAGUUGAAAGUUGUCAGAAUUUGCUAGUUUUUCUAGAAUAAAACUUGGAUUAAGAUUCGUUCAAACUUUACGCUCAUACUUUUUAAGUUGUGAUUGAACUUUAGAAAGUUUUACAAUUUAUUUUGUGUUUCUUAUGAGAAUCAAUUGAAAUAAAUACGUGCUUAAUUGCAUGGUGGAGCAGCUAAAAACUAUGCUUUGCAAAAUUGCAAAGAGAGAAGAUAAGAGGAAUCUACGAGUUAAUUUCAGCAAUUAAAUUGCAAGUUGCCCCUUGGAAAAAACAAGGAACAUGGGGAAUUUAUGCCUCUGUUUUUUAGGAGUUUAUUCUAACCAGGUGGUACUAAUACUAUUUAAGGAAGAUAUGUGAGUAUUAUAACAUACUAAACAUCAUAUAUAACAAACUUUGUGCCUUGUUAUAGCGGCCAGCUCGCCUACUUUUUAUAAGCAUCCCUAAUGCACCUCCUUUAUUUUUUUAUAAGCAUUGCAUAACACGUAAAAAAAAAGUGCAGUCUCUGAAAACAGGGGACUCGAUGUGGAUCAUCGAGGUGAUAGUUCGCGCGCCGUAGCACUAGACGAUAAUUGUUAUGUGAAAAUGCAGGCAUACAAGCUUAGCUUGACAAUAUAUGACCUUCUAAAUUCUUAACAAAUAUUUUUUUAACGAUACAAAAACAUUUGGGGCUCACCGAAACUUCCGGUAAAUCGGGAAAAAAUAAACAUCGUGCAAAGCAUUCAAAUCAAUUUUCCUAACGAAAUAUAUAAAUUAUAGAAUAUGUUUUAUCCGUACUAUUAACAGAAACCUUGUGUCAAUGCAGUUGCAUGCGCCUGGACGGCUUCAGUUCUGUUUCGUCUAAGUGCACAGUUUUUAUUUGUUUGUAUUUUCUUCCUUUGGCACAGACAGGUGAGACCCAUAUGCAGGCAUGGAGUGUGGACCAGCCGGCGUGCAAAGUUUAACGAAGAGUUAACGGCAGAUGACGGAAAUGUGCUCAAAUUUACCUGAAUCACAAGUUGUAGGGCUGCUUUGUGUCAGUUUUCAAGUUUAUGUAUGAAUUUGCAGUCGAGUGAAAGUUUAUGUAUCAAAUGUGUAAUUAACUCCUAGUAUAAAUCUAUCAGGGUCCUCUGCAUCCUGCUAUAAUACAAUAGUUUAGAGACAAAUUUAGACAAUCUCCAAUAAUAAGCUACAAUCCUACAAGUUGAUGGUUCACAGUGGCAACUGACAAUUUCCCCUCCAAGCAGAGAUUUUCAUCAUAUAACGUUAACCCGAAGAAACACAAGAUAGCCAAAAAAAACAUUUACCUACACAUCCUGUAGCAGAAGUGUGCCAUGAAAUCUUGAAUUUCGUAGGCAAAUGGAACAUUACAGUGAAUACAUAUCUAUAUGGGUACUUCCUUCUUAGAUAUUGUAACUCAAACAAAAGCACAAACACUUAAUCGCAAUGUACUCGCUGUAUCAAACUUUCCAUUUACCUAAUUUUACAUCUACCAAAUUGGCUCAAGUAUAUAAGAAGCAUGAAAUUCUCACAUAGAACACAAUCAGAGAGAGUAAAUUUCUAUUUCAACAAUGCUCUGCUAGUUCUCAAAAUUGUACUCCCUCCGUUCCAAAUAUUUGUCUUUCUAGAGAUUUUAACAAGUGACUACGUACGAAGCAAAAUAAGUAAAUCUACACUCUAAAAUAUGUCUACAUACAUCCGUAUGUUGUAGUCCAUUUGAAAUGUCUAGAAAGACAAAUAUUUGGAAACGGAGGGAGUAGUCAUUUAACUCCGGGCCAAUACGAUCACCGAAUAAAAAUUGCUAAAUACUGCAACUAAAUUUUACACAAGUCACAAACAUACUUACAUGGAAAUCAAAGACGCCGCGCAUGCCGGCAGCGGCUGGAAUCCUAGAGAGUGGGCAGGGCGGCCAGCCGCCAUGGUCUCGUCUGCCUAGCACGAUCAACCUCCGUAGCGGACGAGCAGUAGACAUCGGUUUUGAGGCCCUGCACCUAGCAGCCCAGCCCUCCUCACUGGGGGUGGCGGUGACGGUCCAGUCCCCGGUGAGCGAGAUGCGCUGCUUAAAUUGGCGACGCGGCCAAGCAGGGUUCAGGUGGCGUGCGCUGCCGGAGUGGAGGUCGGCGCACAGCUCUGGGCUAGGGUGCAGGCAGGGACCUCUGUGGAGAUGGAGACAAGGCGAGGGCACUGGAAUGUUUAUUAUUGUUUUCAGUCAUUUGAACUGCAGUUCAAUUCUUGGUUUUCCGUUUGUGCUCUUACUUUCCCCGAACAACAUGUACCAGCAUAAAUUUGAGACGUCACCCUUAUUUCUGUCCAAAAUUUAGCUUCAUUCGAGAAGGCUCCACCUCUACUACCUCUAUGUGACGAGAAGGAUGAGCACGAUGAUGAUGAGGAGGAGGACGGCAACGAUGAGGAGGAGGUAAUAAUUUUAGUUCAAUCUUCUAAUGCUAGAAUACUAUGUUUUUACUCUGUUUUUUUCCUGGCUGAAUUCACCAGAUUUUAUUUUACUUUUGUCUGCGGUUUAAUCACUUUAUCAGUUGUUUUAGGGUGAUUGGCGAGUUACAACUCGUAAUUUCGUGUAACUCCACCUUCAAUUUUUCCUGACCGUCAGAUUUGAGAAAUCAGUAAAAUAAUUAUUUUUUGGUCAAAAGGGUAGAAUAGGAAAGUUCCUCCAAUCCGUUCCGCGGGAGAAUUAGCUCACCCGUGCCCGUCCCCCACGCAGAUCGUUCUGUUUCUGGUCGCAUAGCCGCCGCCGCCGCCCUUUCCGCCGUUCCGAUCGAGCGAUCCCGCCGCGGCACCGCUCCAGGCAAGCACCAGCAGUCGCCUACCUGGUGUCGCUCCUGCCACGAGGGUUCCGGCUCAACGCUAGGAACUGCUAACCGUCCGCUGCGGCGCGCCGAGCCCACCGAAGUCUUCCCUGCCCCGCCGCCCACUNNNNNNNNNNNNNNNNNNNNNNNNNNNNNNNNNNNNNNNNNNNNNNNNNNNNNNNNNNNNNNNNNNNNNNNNNNNNNNNNNNNNNNNNNNNNNNNNNNNNNNNNNNNNNNNNNNNNNNNNNNNNNNNNNNNNNNNNNNNNNNNNNNNNNNNNNNNNNNNNNNNNNNNNNNNNNNNNNNNNNNNNNNNNNNNNNNNNNNNNNNNNNNNNNNNNNNNNNNNNNNNNNNNNNNNNNNNNNNNNNNNNNNNNNNNNNNNNNNNNNNNNNNNNNNNNNNNNNNNNNNNNNNNNNNNNNNNNNNNNNNNNNNNNNNNNNNNNNNNNNNNNNNNNNNNNNNNNNNNNNNNNNNNNNNNNNNNNNNNNNNNNNNNNNNNNNNNNNNNNNNNNNNNNNNNNNNNNNNNNNNNNNNNNNNNNNNNNNNNNNNNNNNNNNNNNNNNNNNNNNNNNNNNNNNNNNNNNNNNNNGUCGCCGGCUGUCAGAGGAAAUUUGGGUGCUCCUGCAGUGUCAAUUCAGCCUAGACUCUUUGCACAAUUAGAGAUCAGAUAACGGUCAGUUAUCGUCCUUCUUGGAUGAUUUCUUUCUCUUCUUCCCGGUGCAAGGCUCUUUUCCUUUCAGGUUUUGAGAAAAUGUUUGCAGCUGGCCCAUAAGAUGCUCAUUUCUAUGCGCUGGGAUUGCAAUGCAAUGGUCAGUGGGAGGGGGAAAAAUACAUUAAGAGAACCAUGAAGAGAGUAUCAACAACAUUUUUGUCUAUAGCUUAUCAACUAUGUAUUCAACAUUUGGAAAAUUACGAGUACACAAGUAUCUCAAACAACCUUGUGUAGAAAACAACAAUUCCAGGAAGCCAAUAUUCUUUACUUCUCUUUCAGGCAUUUGUAAAGAUAUUGUUUGCUCAAAUACCUGUGAGGAUAACAUCGUCCAUCCUAAUGGAUUUACGACUAGCAUGUUGUGCAUAGAACUCAACAUCCUUAGCCAGUUGCUGUGCACAUUGCGAAGAAUAUGUUAAUUACACUACCCAUAGAGUUUCCAAAUAUGCAAAUCUAACAAGAUUCAGAACCAUUCUUAUUCUGCUGAGGGCAAAUAAGCAGUUCAGUACAGAUAGUACAGCAGAACGCUAUAGUUUCAGAGAUGUUGCUCUGAAAAUACACGUCCUUAUGUUCUGAUACAUCUCCUUUACUGUCGCCGUGCAACCAGUGGUUCCCACAACAUCCCCAUCCCGAGCUGGAAAUGUGGUCAGCUAUUGCUUUCUAGCUGAUACAGUGUGCCACUUAAAAGGAUGAGAUUCUUGAGUUUGUGGACGGGUUUGGGUGAUCUUCAGUGCAACUUGAUGUCUUAUUUCUCACGUGUAUUCUACAACCCACCAAGGUCCGGGAGUCACGUUGGCUAAACAUUACCUAAAUGCAUUAAAUAGUGCUUUGCUUUAUUCAAGAGCACAUUCCCAAUUGAACUAAAUAUCUUGAAUUGUGUUAGAGGAGCAUGCAAAUCAGAUAUAAGGAUAGUAUCUAUAGCAGAGAUUGUUUGUUAGAGUUUGGUGUAUUCUCAUCAUGAAUAUUUUGUCUAUGCAGAGCUUGUUGUAAGAGAAAAAACCAUCAGUAUCAGCAUGAAAUUCGAGAUACACAACUCCUAGUAUGGCGGCAUCCACAUCGCUCCCACGAUUACUGCUUUUGAAGUUUGUGUAUGAUAUAAAAAUUAAUGGAUGUGCUAUGAUCUUGUGCAGAAGAGUCAGAUCAGUCAUAAUGUGGCCAAGUUCAAAUUUGUUUCCCUAAACCUACUUCUGUGUUGGGCCAUGCAAUUGCCAAUAUAUAAGAUGCAGGUCUGAACACUUGUACUGCUCAUAUCCUGGUCAACAGUUAUGAUGUUGAGUUAUGGUCAUUCUUUUUGGCACGCGAACAUGACAGAGAGGACUAAAAUAGGGGACAUACUUCUUCUGUUCCAUAUUUGUCGACAAUGAUUAUGGCUGAGGCAUGAUAAUGCACAUGUAGCAAUGCGUGCAAAGCGGGCAAGAAAUUCAUAUGAAGUAGGCAUUCUUCCAAAUUGAGCCAAUUCUGGUUUUCGAAGAUAUACUUUACAUAACUACUGUCCAUUUUCUACAGUGCCAUACAUUGCCUAAAUAUUCAGAACUAUGUUUGAGGCGUGGGUCAUGUAUGUCUUGAGCUCCCGAUUCACCUUCUCCUCGUCCCACAUGAACCCCUGGAUGUUCUGCACCCACUCGAAGCAGCUCACCAUCACUCCGCCGGAGUUGGCCAUGAUGUCCGGUAGGAUCAGCACGCCCUUCUUUGCUAGAAUCUGCACCACGAACAUGAACAUUUCUCUGCUGUCAGUCAAUGUGUGAAUGUGUCAACAAAUGCAGCUUAGUUUUGUGGAAAAAUGUUGGUGUUCUUGCCUCGUCGACCUCGGUGUCUGUUGGGUGGUUAACAGCCUCGAUGAUGUACUUUGCUUUGAUGGCAUCAGCAUUGUCCCUAGUAGAAGAAGAAAAUCAAACGGACUUUUUAUUAACAAAAAUGUAUUCAGAUACACAAAAAAUAACAGCCAGGAGGAUACUUUAACUGAGCUUCUGAGCAGUAAUCUGAUAAAGAUUGGAUGAAGUGAGAUGGGACGAGGAAAUAGAAGAUUACUUGUUUAUGACUCCUCCCAGAGCUGCCGGGAUGAGCACGUCACACUCUUCCGUGAGCAGCGAGGUCGGGUCGACGGCGUCGCCUCCGUCAAAGCCCUUGAUCCCGCGGUUCUCUGCCGAGUGCUUCUUCAGCUUGGCUAUGUCAAUGCCAUUGGAGUUCUUGACAGCCCCUGUGACAUCUCUGAUGGAGACCACCUUGCCACCAGCUUUAGUGAUCAAUUGGGCAGCCCAAGAGCCAAUAUUGCCAAAUACCUGAAAAAGGCAAGAAGAUAAUAAUUGCUCAUCUGUGCAAAUGUAGAUGAAGAAACAUAGUUUUGGCCUUGCUCCACAAUGUAUGGCGCCAUUGUACACAACGAUUAUUACUAGCAUUGUGUAGGCAUGCUUGUAUAUAUUUGGCAGAAUAUAUUACUUGUGGGUGCUCAUUGUGUGCUCCUUUCCCCUUUAAUUUCAGCGCGUGAGGUGGGAGAUUAGAAAGAUACUGACAUAUCAAGCACAGAACUUUGCAAUUGCCACUGAUGGUGUCUCCAUUGUAAGCCUAAGCUUUGACAAGAUGCUUGUCUCUAAAUUAUAAAUGGGAAACAUCUUAGCUUUGCGUGAAAAUUAAAGAGAUUGGCAAAAAUUUCUCUGGCAUUUUAAAUGCGCAAAAGACCAAAGAAAAAGCAAAUAAUCUUAGUGAGUUCAGAUAAAACAGAGAAUUACCUUAAGAAGAGUUCAAUUGCGAUAUCGUGAUAUUACACUAAAAUUAAAAGCUGGAUGGUCAGUCUAGUGGCAGAACAACAGCCAUCUUUUGGCAAAUAAAACAUCUGCUUACAAAUUUUAAGUUUUCGGAAGCAGCCAUGGAUUUCACCUGGAAAAGAACAUCGAAGAGAAAAAACAACGUCCUACAACUGCUCCAUCAGACACGAAUAGGCAGAAUAAAGGGAUAUGUUGUAUGUUCUUCCCUACGGCUAAAUAAUUGCUGAAAAUUGUCACUUUCCUAAACCAGAAGGGUUGCAGUAGCAAAUUUCUACUUAGUAGUGAGCAAGUGUAGAUGAUUUUGGUCCUUCUGUCUUCUAUCAAUCCUUAUCCAAGAUGGCAAAUUAUGGCACAAACGAUGUAUAACUUAUUAAUAUGAUUCCUGCGCUUUGUACGUGACGAACAAUAACACUGCAAAUAUCAUUCUACAAGAAAUUCGAUUCCUCUCCAGGGUAACUGCAUAGCUCCCCAUGUGCAUCAAUCGACAAAGCACAAAUCUAUCACGUAUCUACGCCGCUAGGCCAUCGCACAUCCAACCACUUCCUCGCUUGGAACCACCGAAUUGAACUGCCCAAUCAAAUCAAUACAUGUCGGGAUCAACAUAGGGGAUGAAGGGGGCGGGAGGGGGGAGCAAGAGACCGUACGUACCAUGUCGGGCAGGAUGACAUGCAGUCCGGCGGGGCCGUUGUCAACCUGGGCGAUCUCGACCAGCAGCGGCGACUGCAGUGUUGGUAAGGUCGACGACUAGAUGCAGGAGUUGGGGACGACCUCCUCCGGGCACGGCUGCUCCCCCUCCUUGGCGGCAUGGGCGGACAAGACCUCUUCUGGGUGAGGCCGACGUCAGCGACGGGAGUCCGGUGACGCCGCUGAAGAUGCCGCCGCCACGACCACCCGCCUCCUCCGCUGAAGAUGCCGCCGCCGCUGCUGAACAUGGACGCCGAUCUNNNNNNNNNNNNNNNNNNNNNNNNNNNNNNNNNNNNNNNNNNNNNNNNNNNNNNNNNNNNNNNNNNNNNNNNNNNNNNNNNNNNNNNNNNNNNNNNNNNNNNNNNNNNNNNNNNNNNNNNNNNNNNNNNNNNNNNNNNNNNNNNNNNNNNNNNNNNNNNNNNNNNNNNNNNNNNNNNNNNNNNNNNNNNNNNNNNNNNNNNNNNNNNNNNNNNNNNNNNNNNNNNNNNNNNNNNNNNNNNNNNNNNNNNNNNNNNNNNNNNNNNNNNNNNNNNNNNAGAGGGGAUCGACAGAAGAAGCGUGCGUGGCUAGGUUUCUUUUCCUUUUCUCCCAGCGCGAUCUACCCUUUUGGAAAAUGAUUAGCCCCACCAUAAUCUUGUAACGGUCCCAUAGUUAUUUGUGAUUUCAUGUAAUUUUACUCUCGUAACUCCUCGUAACUCCUAUUUCUCCACCGUUUGAUCGUAGUGAAUGGACGGCCCCUAAAUUCGCCACUGUAACAGUUGUAUUUAUAUAUACCACUAAUCAGUGGAUGAGUGAUGAAAAGAAAUCUGGUAAUGGUGUGGAACUGCAAGCCCAGGAUGAGGACGGCCUUGAGAUGAUAACACUCUUUAUUUCAAUCUAGAUGCUACAAUACCAGAAUUUUUUGCCGACUGAAUUCACUACAUUGAUUUUAUUUUUGUAUGCUUUUAAUCAAAUUUCCCAACUAAUUAGCGUACCUCUAAUCAGUUGAUGGGCGAUGAAAAGAGAUCUGCUAGUGAUGCUGAACUGCAUGUCCCUAGUUAAGGUGAACAAGAAUGCAAGAAGGCUAAGAUUAUCAGUAAGCUUUGAGUGCGAGGGAGAUGAAAUUGAGGCUGGACAACCAAAGAACUCUCUUUAGUCGAUGAUGAUAUUUGUCUAGAGAUCCGAAAUCUCCACACCGCCCUCUCUCUUCGGCCCCUGGAAGCCCGCGAUAUGGAUGCUCGCCGGCCCGCGGGGACCCCCUUGCCCGCGACGGCUAUGCCGUCAUUUGCGCCGGCGUCGACCGCUCCGGCCCCAUCCCUCACCGCCCCUGCUCUGGCGGCCGCGCUCGCCGCGGCCUUCCUCGCCGGCCGCAAGGCCAGCCCGGCCGUACGAGGACGUCUCGUCUCCUGCAAGCUCCGCUCCACGACUACGGCGCCGGCCAGCCAAUCUUCGCCAACCGCCGCCCCCGGCCACCUUGCCGGCGCCUCCUCCGGCCGUCUGCCAGUGCCCUCCGGCCUCCUAGGCUCGCCGGCGUCGUCGCCUCGAUCCACGGCUCCCACGUCAAGCACCCAUCUGCCCCGGUCAAAUCUGGAACGGGGACAUGUGCCUCCGCCGCCAGUGCCACGUCUACGCCCUGCGGUCCCUGUAACCCCUCUGGAGAUGUCGGCUGCGCUGCCUUGCCAUAAUGGCGGCCACAUCCGCCCGCCUGCUGAGCCGAUGAGCCCCUGCUGCCUCACCUCUGCUGUGAAUGCCGGCCAGCUCAACACCUGUGGGCGCGAGGCGGAGGCGACCGGAGGCUGGCAGCUCGUCAAAUCGCACCGCGGCCCGCGCCACCCAGAUUUGGCCGCCCAAGCAUUCAAGCCCUCCUCGAUCCCGAGUUGGCUUAAAGGCCGUUGUUGUCGCUGCCUGGCCCCUGAUCACCGCGCCUUCGUCUGCCGCGACCCCGUUCGGUGCGCGCAUUGCUUGGAAAACGGCCACCGGGCUCGCGGCUGCUGCAACAAGUGGAGGCCUCUUAGCUCCCUCGCAAGCCCCGUCGUACCGCCGCCGCUUCCUCACCCUCGACUUGCUGUUGCGACGGUCCAAGAUCCCGCUCCUCGGUUCGGUUCAGGCAGGGGCUGGCCUCUUCCCCAACUUGGCCAGCCACAGCUAUUAGACUCUGCUGGCAUCGGUUCGAUGCCACGACCUGAUGACUUUGUAGUCGUCCCGGCCACAACGGAGAGGCAGGCCGAGUCGGCGUCGAUCAUUGUGGGGCAGACUGAGCUCCUCCGCGCUGAGCUUCGUGAUUGCAUUGUGCGUGUUGGAAUGUUUUGGCAAGCGUAGAGGCCGCUCUCGCCAAACUCCAAGUUGUGCCCGUUGUGACCCCGCUACCCGAGAUCCAGGUUGAUUCUGUCGAUGGGGAGGCAGGAAUGUAUGGAGAUCUCUCCCCUCGUGCUACAUCAUGCACGUCGUCACUGCCUAUCAUGCCGAUUGCUUCUGAGGGUGAAGCUGUUGUCGAGGUUGUGGCUCCGGUGCUGCAGAUUAUGCCUAGGUUGCAGAAGCUCUGUGAGGAGCCCACUUCGCCUAUUUCGAUGGUGCUACCUAAGGAGUCAGGGUCGCUUGGAGGGGCCUUGGCGAUGCCAACUGUGACCUCACCGCAGUCGUUGGAGCCCAGUCAGCCUCUCGCCUUUGUGGACCGUGAAGGUUUGGAUGCUGUUGUUGCUCUCUCACCUGUGGCUAUUGGGCAGGCGACACCUAAUGUGGUCGGUACUUUGGCACCUAAUUCUGUGGCGCUGAAGCCCGUCUUUGACCAUGAAGCUAUGUGGGCACGUAUUGACGAGGUGGUCUUCAAGAAAAAGCUUUGUGGCUUGCUCGCCUCUUUGGAGGUAGCUAGCCCUGGGUCUGGCAAGGCGAUUGCUUGUCUCCUAGCGGAGGAGGCUUCUACAGGCAAAAUCAGGAAGGUGAAGAAGGUUCUUAGGAGCAUAGGCAAGAAGAGUGGCGCCCUUGGUAAGGCGUCUGCGGUUGCCUAAUGGAUGAUACACAGUCUCUUCGACCAUCAUCUCCAACUGGCUCGUCUUUGUGGAUUUGGUGGUAUGUGUUGUCUUCAACCUUGGUUUCGUUGGGGGUUUCUUUGCGACAUAGAAGUGUGAGGGAUUGUGGUUGUUGCGACUUAUGUGUGUUUAUCGGGUUGAUUGUGGGGUCAUGGAGUUUCUCCCUUAGCGAGUAGUUCGCAUGUGGUCUAUAUGUAUCGGUUUUCGCCCAGUUUUCCGUUGUUAAUUAACUGGGCAAUUUUCUUCUUCUUAAUUAAUCGAUGAGACAAAUCUUUUGCAUCCGUUUUGAAAAAAAAUGAUAUUUGUCUAAUCACAUGCAUGCUCGUUAUUGCGGCACAAUUAACUCUUGGAUCUGAUUAUGUAUUUCAAAAUGUGUUAUUUAUACUUGGAUUCAAAUAGUAAAAAUUUAAUAAAUUUACCGCCUAAUUGAUUCUUAGAUCGUUCAGCAAGACAAAUUAGUAUCAUUGCAUUGUUUUAUUUGAUGUUAGCGGCGUGGCCAUGAAUCCAUGAUUAUAUAGCUAUAAACAUUACAGGGAAAAUGAAUUUUAGUCCAUAAAAUUGGAGUCAUGUUCCAAACAAUUGAAACACUGCCAGGUUAUUACCAUACUGGAUACAUGUUAUUACCUGAUGCUUGUUUUUUUUUUCUAAUUACUAGCGAAACAGGUGCUGCCAAAUGUAUGAAGUUGGAUUGUAUAAGCGCUUUGUUAUACUUGUUGCGUUUUCCAUGUUCCAUGUUGUAGCACUUGGAGAUGAAACAUGUAGAUCAUAUUCUGCUUUAUUUUGUCAGGUCCUGAUUACUUAACUUGGGCUUGAACACUUGGGAGUUAGCUGGCUUGCUUUUCGAUAUCUACAACCCACUGUGAUGACAUUUCUAGAGAAAGAUAGAGUAACUAAUAAAAUAUCUUUGUUACUUAGGUCAUUUAGUUGAAUGGAUUUAUUUGAACUUUCAUUUAUCAAAAUUUUCAAUGCCGCAAACCAUCUCCCAGCUAGGACGUAACAGAAUGGAUGCUUUUGUACAUUGAACAUACUGACACGACUGUGAACUUGUUGAGAGUUUAACAAAGUAAGUGGCGAAGUCAUGUUCUGAAUUACAAAAUUUGGAAUAUAUGCUUAAAUAAGUCCUUUUUCUUUUUAAAUAUGUACAAAAUACACAUUAUAUCAUUAAAAGUCUGCACAACUCCUUACCCUUAGAUCUCUGCACACUAUUUGUAUCGGGUGCCUUUAUUUUGUUUCCACAAUUUUACUUAAGUGUCCAUGCUUUGUCCAUGGCCACUCGAAGUUUUCCAAUACACAUAUUGCAUGUAUGCUUUUCAACUUUCUUGAUUAAACCGAGUCGUCAAACUGAUUCUUACGAUGUUGUUUGGUUGUUCUGGCAGUAUCUGGUGACACGAGAAGUUAGAAGAGGCAACUAAACUGUUGGUUGUGUCCAUGGCUGCAGUAUUGGGUCUUGUAAUAUUCAAAACAGCAGCUAUCGUAGGCCUUGUGUUAUGUGCAACUUUUAUGAUUGUGUCCUAAAAACAUGCCUCUGUUUCUCAUUUGAGUAAAAUGGAUACCAUCAUCUAUUUUAGUUAUACCAAAAGAAAAAUAAGCAUGUCUCUGUUUCUCAUUUGAGUAAAAUGGAUACGUCAUCUUGGACGGGUGUCAUGCAUUUCAUGUCUAUAUACGAAAAUUUGGGUAUUGAGCUCAAACAUUCACAUGGACCCCAAGGCUCUGGUUUCUGCUGAAUUUACCUUGAUGUACUCUUCCACAAAACAUACCGGUUCGUUCUCUCGUAAAAUAGAACGACAGGAGGCGAGAAACGCGGCGGAGGAGCUGAGAUCCACGCAACCAACCGAGGUAGACACGACCACCGAUGGCCACGUCUAGGACCUCUACCCCAUUCACUCCAUUGCUCGAGCCAUGUUCCCUCUGCCACGCCGCCCUGCACCACAUCAAGCAUGGCAGUCAUCGGUGCCCUCUACCGCGCCGCCUUGCACCGUCUCAAGCGCAGCAGUCAUCGGUGCCCUAUGCUGUGGGCCCGUUUGUUGGGAAUCUUAGCAUAAUUUAAAAUUUUCCUACGCUCACCAAGAUGCAUCUAUGGAGUCUACUAGCAACGAGGGGAAAGGAGUGCAUCUACAUACCCUUGUAGAUCGCGAGCGGAAGCGUUCCAAUGAACGUGGAUGACGGAGUCGUACUCGCCGUGAUCCAAAUCACCGAUGACCGAGUGCCGAACGGACGGCACCUCCGCGUUCAACACACGUACGGUGCAGCGACGUCUCCUCCUUCUUGAUCCAGCAAGGGGGAAGGAGAGGUUGAUGGAGAUCCAACAGCACAACGGCGUGGUGGUGGAUGUAGCGGGUCUCCGGCAGGGUUUCGCCAAGCUUCUGCGAGAGAGAGAGAGAGAGAGAGAGAGAGAGAGAGAGAGAGAGAGAGAGCUGUUGCAGGGGAGGAGGGAGGCGCCCAAGGCUGUUCAUUGCUGCCCUCCCUCCCCCCACUAUUUAUAGGACCCCUGGGGGGCGCCAGCCCUUGGGAGAUCAGAUCUCCAAGGGGGGCGGCGGCCAAGUGGGGGGGAAGGGGUGCCUUGCCCCCCAAGGCAAGGGGGAAGCUCCCCCCCCAGGGUUCCCAACCCUAGGCGCAUGGGGGAGGCCCAAGGGGGGCGCCCCAGCCCACUAAGGGCUGGUUCCCUUCCACUUUCAGCCCACGGGGCCCUCCGGGGUAGGUGGCCCCACCCGGUGGACCCCCGGGACCCUUCCGGUGGUCCCGGUACAAUACCGGUAACCCCCGAAACUUUCCCGGUGGCCGAAACUUGACUUCCUAUAUAUAAUUCUUCACCUCCGGACCAUUCCGGAACCUCUCGUGACGUCCGGGAUCUCAUCCGGGACUCCAAACAACUUUCGGGUUUCCGCAUACAUAUAUCUCUACAACCCUAGCGUCACCGGACCUUAAGUGUGUAGACCCUACGGGUUCGGGAGACAUGCAGACAUGACCGAGACGCCUCUCCGGUCAAUAACCAACAGCGGGAUCUGGAUACCCAUGUUGGCUCCCACAUGUUCCACGAUGAUCUCAUCGGAUGAACCACGGUGUCGAGGAUUCAAUCAAUCCGUAUGCAAUUCCCUUUGUCAAACGGUAUGUUACUUGCCCGAGAUUCGAUCGUCGGCAUCCCAAUACCUUGUUCAAUCUCGUUACCGGCAAGUCUCUUUACUCGUACCGCAAUGCAUGAUCCCGUGACUAACGCCUUAGUCACAUUGAGCUCAUUAUGAUGAUGCAUUACCGAGUGGGCCCAGAGAUACCUCUCCGUCACACGGAGUGACAAAUCCCAGUCUCGAUCCGUGCCAACCCAACAGACACUUUCGGAGAUACUCGUAGUGCACCUUUAUAGUCACCCAGUUACGUUGUGACGUUUGGCACACCCAAAGCACUCCUACGGUAUCCGGGAGUUGCACGAUCUCAUGGUCUAAGGAAAAGAUACUUGACAUUGGAAAAGCUCUAGCAAACGAAACUACACGAUCUUUUAUGCUAUGCUUAGGAUUGGGUCUUGUCCAUCACAUCAUUCUCCUAAUGAUGUGAUCCCGUUAUCAAUGACAUCCAAUGUCCAUAGUCAGGAAACCAUGACUAUCUGUUGAUCAACGAGCUAGUCAACUAGAGGCUUACUAGGGACAGGUUGUGGUCUAUGUAUUCACACAUGUAUUACGAUUUCCGGACAAUACAAUUAUAGCAUGAAUAAUAGACAAUUACCAUGAACAAAGAAAUAUAAUAAUAACCAUUUAUUAUUGCCUCUAGGGCAUAUUUCCAACACCGUCCCCUCCUCCCGACCUCUCCAUCUCAUCCGGAGAGGUAGCCCUCCCCUAGCCUUUUUGAUCUAUUUCUUUCCCCCGCUUCUCAAACCGGUGAGGUAACCAUCCCCUAUCUUCCGUGACACGUCAAUCACUAGACUUCGACGCGUUGACCGCUGAAUCCAGGAGGUUAGCGACGGGGACAAGUGAUGCUGUCCCGGCUAAAGGGCCUCUUACCACGUCGACUCCCGGCUCGGUGGGACAGCCUGACGACCCUUUCCGGUUCCAUCCUGGGCCAGUUUGUAGCCCAUGACAAUUACAAGGAAGAUUCAAAGGACCUGGCGUAUACUCCAAGAUGCUCGAUCCAUGGAGGACUAUGCCUCCCCAUACGUAGACGACUAGGAUCUUGUACCCUAGGGGCCCCCAGGUACCUAUAUAAACCAAGGGGCCUGGCUCGUAGAUAUAAGUUACAAGUUAGAUCAUACAAUCUUAUGGUAGCUUACCUGUACUCUAUACACACUCCAACGCAGUAAAACACAAGCAAGAUGUAUAGUAUUAUCUCUUCGGAGAGCAUGAACCUGGGUAAACCCUGUGUCUUUGUUACCAUGCCGAUCUUAGGACCCCGUGCCUCGAGAUCUGCCGAAUUCAGCUUUGUUAGUGGUGGCCCAUGCAUGUCGUGUAGGGUGAUUGUCAUGGAUGGAUAAACGCUUAGAUUGGCGCCAGUGCAAUCUUUGUGCCGGGCCAGAUGCUUCUCUUCAGCGGCGUAACCCUCGUCGCCAACUCGUCUGGCCUUCUAGGUCAGGUCGAUUACUUCGCUCCAGGUUGGACUGUCGGGUUCGAUAACAUGGAGUACACUGUGGAUUUCCACAAGGAGUUGAUCUUCUCUGGUUUGGUUCCACACCAGAUCGAGGAACAGCCCGAGCCUCUCUCUUCGGACCCGAUUUCGGAUUAGGUCCAGGACAAGCGUGAGAAAACCUUACCGGGUUCGGUUUCUGAUCGGAUCCUGAAGCCACUCUCCCCAAGUAAGAUUUCAGAUGAAGUUUUGGAGGAGAGCGUGAACCCUCUUCCCGGAUAGAUGUCAGGUCGGAUCCCAGAGCCGCUCCCCUCGGUCCCUGUUUUGGCCCUGGUUAAGGAGGAGCAUGAGAAACUCCUAUUGGGUGUGAUGUUAGAUCAUAUUCAGGAGAUUGUGAAAUCAGAUUUCCUGAUUUGGACGUCAGAUCGGAUCGUGAAACUCCCUAGGGAAGCCAAUUUUUUCGACCCACCCACCACCCAUCUUAUCGCUAACGUCGAAGUUCUUACCGAAGUCCUCGAAGGCACAAUCAACGAGGCUAAAGACAAGGAAGAAGAGGGGAUCGGCGAAUCCACUGAAAGCCAACCUCCAACCACCGACAGGUGGAAGGAGAUGUCGACCUACAACAUCUACAUGGUAGACACGCCUAACGCCACUGACCAUGGUGGUGGCGGCGGCGACAAUGCCAACGGCAACAAUAGUGCCAACAAUGGCCCUGCGAGUGAUGACCCCAAAGCUCCUCCACAAGCUGACGCGACCGAGAAGCUCAUGUCCGGGAGCGAGUUCGAACCUUACGACGAUGACAUACUGAAUGAAUCGUUCGGAAGUCCAAGCCAUGACGAAGCCCAUCGGAGGCUGCUCAGGUCAGCCAGUAAGAUAGUCAGGGAUAACAAUUCCUACUCCAUCGGAUCAAGCCCAUCGAAGAUGGCUGGCCACAGGUACUCCAAUACGAGGAAGACCUAAAAAAAAGAA
rnacentral:lncRNA from 1 species